AGUCCCGGGAAGGUCCCUUGAAGGUGCUUGCGCUCCCGGCGCCAGGGGCCCGGCGUGCUUAUGUUGUCUCAGAUGACAAGAUGGUGAGCCGCGCUCGCGCCCCCACACGGCGUGCAAGCGCGGUAUCCGACGACAAGAUGGUGAGCCGCGCUCGCUCCCCCCCCCUCUGCUACUAGUGAUUUGAAGUUAACCGGUGCCUAAUGAGCUGGAGUUAUUGACAAUCUUUAAUCUAGUCAUGUGAAUUAGUGCUAGUGCUUAAUGAACUACCUGAUGUGUAUGUGCAAGAAUUACGUGCUGGGUAUAUGUCCUUGGACUUUCUAAUCGCUGCGAUCUCAUCUGGCAGAUGGACAGGAACGAGAUAACGCCGGUGGUUCGCAGGCGCAAGCCCGGGAGACCCCAGGAGAAAAGCCCGCCCCCAGCGGCCACCAGAGAGGAGCUGGAAUCCCGGGAGUCCCGGGAAGGCCCCUUGAAGGUGCUUUCACUCCCGGCGCCAGGGGCCCCGCGUACUCACGCUGUCUCCGGCGACAAGAUGAUGAGACGCGCUCGCGCCCCCACCCGGCAUGCAAACACUGUCUCCGACGACAAGAUGGUGAGCCGCGCUCGCGCCCCCACCCUGCAUGCAAACCAUGUCUCCGAUGACAAGAUGGUGAGCCGCACUCGCUUCCCCCUCUCCUACUAGUGAUUUGAAGUUAACCGGUGCCUAAUGAUUUGAAGUUACUGACAAUCUUUAAUCUAGUCAUGUGAAUUGUACUGUAGCUUACUGAAUUACCUGACGUGUAUGUGCAUGAACUACGUGGUGUGUAUAUGUCCUUGGAUUUUCUAAUCGCUGCGGUCUCGUCUGGCAGAUGGACAAGAACGAGAUGGCGCCGGUCCAGGGGGUGCCGCGCAUGCGAGGGAGCAUCGCGUCGUCAAGUGCGGUUGGUAAGUAUACUUUAUGCUGCUUUUUUUGUCAACAUCGUCUCCGUGCAGGCUACACUGGCAAACAAGCUGCUUAACUCUUGUGCAUGCUGGUUUUUCGUCAUCACUAGUAUACUGGUAUUGGACUGAAGCUUGUUAGCUCUGUCCAUGCUGGGUCUUUUUUUUUCAUGAUUAGUAUUGUUAUAUAUUAGCAGAAGCUGCACAUGUUUUCUUUCCAUUGACGUUGGUGCGGGCGGUGCUACGCGUCAGUCGGCCGAGGGAUGGACGCCUUACUCACCUGAUUUUAAUCAAGUCCCACCUAGGUGUAGUUCGUUUUGUCACUAGCUGUGUAUACAUAGGCGAGCUCCAGCACUAUGUUGCAGCGUGGAAAACAUAUGAACUGUAAUAAGAAACAUGCAAUGGCUAGAAAUAUCUCCACAUAUUUUUUCAGCAUGUUUUAGGUGUCAACGAAAUUAGUCGGAUCGCCAGCCAUCGAAUUGACAUAUGGAGCAUUGGAUCACACUACACGGCAGCAGAGAGAAUGGAAACCGUGUUCCUCCAUAGCCUCCACAAUACAUGUGUAUCCACCACCCCUCCCACAUCGUCGCAACAGACAAUUACGUCGGCCCCUUGCAACACCUGGCUUUGGUACCCUAGAGAUCCUUGAUAUCGCUUGGAUAUCCUGCAAGUAUUAUUACAGUGCGCCUACGAGGCGUCGUCCUUGCAACAUUGUCUUACAGACAAUGUAGUUGAUGCCACCACCACCAUCACCCAUUUACACAUGGGCCGUGGCAUGUGGCACUGUUCGUGGGAUAAAACACACCCCGCGAGAAUAUGCGGUUGCACCACUAUGAUCUGUGCAUCUUAGGAAUUGUUGUGACUGCCCCUGCAAAACUAGCGAUGAUACGACCAUCGCCCUGCAACAUCGGCCAUAGUUGUAGCACAUAUGAGAAGACGGAUGCCGCACCUAACAACACAUUAUGUGUUUUUUGCACCAUAUGAAAGCACUGCCUUGCAACAUCGGCUAUCAGGGUGCUGCACCGACAAACACACUCACGACCUUGAGAUGUCGUAUGCCUUGGCCGAUGUAGCAUAGUGCUCCUCUUUCAGCAUAUAGCGAUGGCUUGUAGAAUUGAUGGUCGGAGAGUCGCAACAUCAUUGAGUGGCAGUGCUAGCCCAACUCAUUGUCAUAGAGAAAGGGGAAUAAAGGAUGGGUGUGCACGUGGUGGAAAUAAAGUGAAUGGAUAUGGUGAAGAGAGAGGAAGACUAACAGGGGCAUCUGGCGCUAGAGCGAUCUGACUGAUUUACCCCUGAAACCAGCCUGUUGAAUAUAAUUCAAUUUUCUUUUGAGAGACCUCAUAUAAAAACGUCGCAACAUGCGAGCAUGUCUAUACAAAAAAUUGUAGAUAUACAACGCAUACUCAUUAGCUUCAACAAAUAAGUGAAAAAACACAAUGUAUAUAGGCCUGAACCGAUGGAUCAUCAGCAUGCAUCUACCAGAUCUUCCUAGGUUACGCCCAACCGUGAGUCGUUCAAUUGGGUCACACAUCACUACCCAAUCAACCACCAACUUAGUUGUUCCUCUCGUCUCCUCUACCCACCCUUCGCAACAUACACCCAUGAUUCUCAGCAAUAGACCAACAUGGAGGCGACAAUGGUGUCCAUGAUAGGCUAGUCAAAAGCACACUGGUGAUCAACCUUACAACACUAAACAGAACAUUGCAACAUGAGGUAACCCCAACUUUGUAGCACUGGUGCACCAUUUUCAACCACCUUGUAGCAAUGAAAAGUUCACUUACCAAUAGCAUUGUUAUACCAAGUUACCGGCUUCCAGCACUGAACACACGGGCUUGCAGCACCGCGAUGAUCAAUGGUCGGCCUUUCAACAAUAUUAGUUAACAUUGCACACCUCGUCUCCAUUUUUAUGUACAUACACAUGAGUGAGAUUGGAACAUCAGUAACGUAUCAACAUUACCAAACAUGAAGACAAUAAAUUUGUUUCUCCAAGCAUAGACGUUACUGAAUAAGCGUGCAACUGCACAUCCACCACAUGAGCCAUAAUUUUUUAGCUCUGUGACAACAGCUUAUAGUUGCAAAAGAGCUGAAGAUGAUGGUUUAGAAUGUAUAUGAUCAAAAUAGAUUAAAUGGAGGGGAGGAUGGACUACAUAUGUUGAAUCGGACUAGCCGCAAGGUCACAAGUGCCUUGUCUAAAUAGCCAAAAAGACAAAAGGAGGCCUCCUGGAUUCUCCAUCCUGAAGCUAAGCAUAACUCCAACUCCAGACACGCUAGGGGGCUACUAAAGGUGCAAUACACUAGGGAUGUCUUCUGGGUGGGAAGCCCGGUAGCAGGCUUGCCUUAGGGCCCAAGAGGCCAACUGGAGGAUCGGUGCAGUAGGGCAGCUCAGGAGCCUAGAUAAGGACUGUGGGAGCAUCUUGGCAGGCAAGCUAAGAUGGCAGUGGUAUGAGAUCUGAUGGAUUCCUUGUAAACCUAGCCCGCGCCACCUAUAUAAGGAGGGGCUCGGGGUUGUCAUUCACAUAUACUCUCAUAGACUAUACUCUCUGUAGCAUUAUACUUCAUCUCCACUCUAAACCCCUCGCACAAGGUGCUCCAACAUGAAUAAAAAUCAGAUACAGGAUGUUGGGCAUUACCUCUCACCGAGGGCCCGAACCUAGGUAAAAACCUUUGUGCAGACUACCUUGUCGUGUAUCCCUACAAGUUCACCACCCUACUAUGGGUACUCACAGUUUUCCAUACUAUCACAUAGUUAAGUUCUAACACAUUUUCUCUGGGGAGUUGAAGCAACUCAUGGUGUAAGUAGGUGUUGCUUGAAGCACUGAUUCUACUAGCACCUCCUUUCCCUCCUUUGAGAUACCUUGUCCUUCCAAUCCAACCACUUUGCCAUUUGAGCUUUCUUUAAUAUGUUUAAAAUUUCCUUCCUUUGACCUACCCACCACGGUUGGGAGCCCCAAAUAAUGCUCGCUCAAUGCCUUAGGAUCUGUGCAAAGAUAUUAACAACAACUUACUCCUCCUAUUUGCCUCACUUCCCAAAGAAUGUUGAAGCUUUUAGAAAAUUUCCCAUUUGUCCCGAGGCCCACUAGUAGUCAAAUAGGAUAUAUUUAAGGUUACAAAGUUGCCAUUUGACGGUUGAAGAAAUACUAUACUAUCAUCUGCAGAAAUAAGAUGGGCUACAUGGGGGUUAGUGCUCCCAAAAGAUAUACCAUUGAUCUCUUUAUCUUUGAGCACUCAUGAGAAAGGCCAAAAAACUCGCAACAUAGAAAAUAAGAAAAUAGGGAGACCAUCGGUCUCCUUGCCAGAGCCCUCUUCAUAGUAUAAAAAAUACAUAACACACUCCUUUCAAUUUGAUAGAAAACCUGGCCGGGGUACCACACAUCAUAAUCAUCAAGAUCAACCUAUCUGAGAAACCAAGUGCCCUCAUCAUCAGAUCGAGGAAAAUCCAAACCACCCUCUUAUAGGCCUUCAUCAUGUAUAGUUUAAUUGCGAACAUUGGAUUUUUCUAUUUCUUGAACGAACAUACUUUGCUCCUGCGUGAUCAUUAUGGAUAUGACAACCUUCAAUCUCUUUGCUAGGCCUUUGAAGCAAUCUGACUGAGCGUGUUCAAUAAGUUGAUUGAUCCCAUUUGAGGAAGUAUCUCCAUUGAGGUAAUUUUGGGGAUUAGGACUAGAACCAUAUCACUAAAGUUUGGUCAAAUAACUCCAUUAAAAGAAUCACCUAUUACUAUGCGUACAUCAUUUUUUAGAAAUAACUAGUGAAAUUGGUAAACAUAAGUGAGAGGUUGUCUAGCCCCUGCGCUCUUGCCAGUCAAAUUUAGAAUAGUGCAUUCUCAAUUUCUUCAUCCAUCACGUCCGUGUUCACCCUCUCCUCCAUAUCACUAGUCAGACAGGGUCGGAUGUGAGCUAAGAUGUUGUCAGCAUCAACAGAGGCUUCUGAAGAAAACAACUAAGCAUAGAAAUCGGCCGAAAUCUUCCCCAUCUCAUUGUCAAUAGUACAACUCGUGCCAUCUGCCCUCAUGUUUUGAUCGUCUUCCUUGAGAAAUUCCAGUUGGGAACAUUGCAUACACAUUAUUUGUUCCUGUGGACGAACCACAUGAAGCUAUGCUUCAAUCUCGCUGGUCUUCAGCAAGGAUGUCUGGAUCCCAAUGCGCUACCCUUUCCAUCGAAGCUGGACCUUGUGCCUAGUAAUCUCACAACAUACAAGACAAAAUACAGAGCCACUUCAAUGUUUCAUAUCAUUGGUGACAUUGUUACGCUUCCUGUAGAGCUCACUCUGGCCGAAAUUGUUAUCACAUGCACACUAUCAUGCCUACAUGGGCAUCCACCUCUCCUCAAACUUAAUGCCCUCUUCUUACUUUUGGUAAUGACUAGGUUUUCUAGCGAUCUAUUAACGAGAAAACCAUGGUCUGGUCCUCCAUGACAACAUGUUCAAUGGGUGUAUCCUACAAUGAAUGCACGAAUUCAUCAUUGCAUGGACCCCUGUCCACAUGUACAUAAACGAUCUCAUCCCGCUCCCUCUUAUUGUCCCAAGUGUACAUGUUGCUACUAAAACAAAGUUUUGAAACACUAUUAUUGGCUACACUCUCCCUAAUGCGCUCCAUUUGUGUGAAACUCCUCAAGUAAUCUCCUAGUUGUUGUGAUUAAAAGAAUUCUUUGUUGAGGUAUCAUUGUAACAGAUAAAUGUAUUAUUAGGAUCCAAUCUCUCGGAGCCUCCCUUAGCUACACAAAUUUUCAUCAAUCUCUCUUCCUAUCCAGUAGCUUUAGGUGAUAAUCAUUGUGACGCCUUUGGUGGUCACCAUCACGUUGCCUUGUCUUAUGAACAAAAGUGCCUCGUCUGCGUUGCUCUGAGGUAGAUGGGUCAUCUUUCCCAAUGGCCUUGCACCCUUUCCCAUAUAGAUUUUUUUAUGUCUUGCUUACUUUCAUGCUCCUUCCUCAGGUCCCACUUCCUUUUUAGAUUUAAAUCAUCCCUUAGUUCACAAUCAUGUCACAUUUCUUGCCUGCAUUGGUCCUCCCUACACUUCAUCUUAGGCAGUUACCCUGUACAAGACCAUCUCGAGGAUCCUCGCUAGAGAGAGAGUCCACAGAGGGUGUAUAAUCAGUGUAUGACCUGCACGUAAAUGGACGGGCAUGCAACGCUACAUGACCCCUGCGCCCAUAGACGCCCUUGCUUGACCUAGUGCUCCCAAAACUAAAGUUCCUGCUUUCUUUCACCGGCCUCUACUUAGUUUUUGUCUAUGAGGAGCCAUGUCCAAGUGAUGCCCUCAACCAUUCACCCAACUGGGGUCAGGAAUCAUUUUGUGGUUCAAAUCAUCUGUCAACAUGUGCUAGUCUGUCGUAGUCAAUCCAAAAGAGAGGUAUCUUCUCAAAUUGAAAAUCAAACAAGGUCCCCUCAUCUUUUGCUGAAGAGUGGAGAAAGAAGCCUUAGACUAGUGAAAGAAAUAUGAAAAAUCUAUCUCUAAAUCUGAGAUGGUUCCCCCAUAAAUCCAUCCUUCUUAACAUCACUCUUUACCACGCCACCAAGACAAUUCCCAAGAGCAUUCCCAAAAGUAUAUGAUCAUUUAUAUAGGGGAGGAUCUGUAAUUAUCACCCAUGGCUCCGUCAUACAAAACAUUAUCUUCGAUGACCUAGUUUUUUCAUCAUAAUCCUUCAAAACUAUCACAUUAAAACCAAAUUGCCACAUUCAAUUAUAUAGAGCGUGCUUCUAAACUCCUUUGUUAUGGAAUCUAAAGAAGAAGAUACUAUUUCUAAUGUGACUUACUUGGAUUUCCUAAUAGUGUCACAUGUAUGUUGCGUAGCCCUAGCAAACACGUUGAUCUUGAUUUGCUGGAGUGAGCAUGCCUUUCCAACCACUGACCACCGAGUAGGCCUCGGUCGGUCUGGAAUCCUGAUUCUCAAGCAUGAGAUCUAUUAGUUCCUUUUGUUGUUAACUUCAGGGCUCCUUGUUAAUUUGGUUGAGAGAUUAGUUGCCUCCCCUGAAGCAUUUCCAUCUGUCAGGGACUUUGAAGGUUCUCAUCUUAAUGAUCCUUGGUCGCCCUGUUCACUUGAGCUGUCGAUUUACGCCACGCCUUCUCUCCCAUCGUCGCGCAAAGGAGUGGAAGCACCAAGACCAAUCAAUGUAGGAGUAUAGAGUGUCAUCACCUCAUAGAUGAAUAGAAACCUAACCCUAGCACUACUUGUCGGUCGCCUAUAAUCGCCCUUAGCAUUUCUUUUCAUGUUGGGCCCGCCAUAAGGUAUUUAUACGUUCGCUUCCAUUGGUACUUUUUUUGCACUGGAGCCUUUCUGCUACAUUUGCCUUUCUACGAAGGAUGUCUUAUCCAAAUCAUAUAGUCUCCUCUAUCUAUAGGAAGCGAGGACAUUAGCUCUUCUUUUUUUCAAGGCAAAUACACUUGCUAGUGUUCAAGCGACAUCGAAAGAAGUCUUGUCACAUGUGAAGACGACGCUAAGAGUGUGACAAAUAUAGGUGCCAACUUGAAGAAUAAUGCAAAUUUCAGUAAAUAUGAAUAGCUCCUGGGGGAACGAGUGCAUAAAGGAAUCAGCCACCAUAAAUGGAUCAUCCAAAGAAACAAAGUCACAAAGAGAGAGACAAGACAUUAGCUUCUUUAUGGGGAACACAUAUAUUUAAAUGUUGCCUUGCUCUCUGAUUAUUAACAAGAAAUAAUUUUUACUAAUAUAUUAUGUGUAAAUCUUGAUAGAUAUGGAAUGUAUUUUGGUCAGUAUGUUUUAAGGAAUCAUAUUAGUUUUUGGUAUGUAGAAAUUAAAAGAAGUUCAUGUGCCUUCAAGGCAUGUCAAGGUGUGUUGUUCCACCUCAAAAUUGGUUCAUACUAAAUGGUUAUUCUCCCUACAUAUAGCCCCAAUUCUCAUGCUCUCUCUAUCUCUCUCUCUCUAUUUUAUAUUCCAGACUACUCCAUAAAGCCUAACUAGUGAAGGUCCAGAAACACCCAGCAGUGACGGGUUCAACUCCCAUUAGUAGUCUAUACUUAGUGGAGGAGAAACAAGCCACUUACAGGCACGAGCCCGCCAAUGGUGAAUAAAUCAGAAAAGAAAAUCAGGCCAUGGCCAGUCCAAAUCCAGCACCUGCCAACAAUGUGUAGUCUCCACUACGCGAACCUACUUUUCCUCAGUGCGUGACAUCAUGUGAUGUUUGGAGAAUCCAUAGAGUUGGGGAUCCGAAUAUAAAAAACAACAAUGGGGAGUGUCUUGAAGAAUAGGUGCCAAGAAGCCGGACGGAGAAGGCCUCCACCAUGCUGCACCAUUGGCCGAUACUGACCCGUAUGGUGCAAGGACAAAGGCAGAACUGAACACCGUCAUCAUCUAGGUUGCAAAGGAAGUUGGACCACUGUGUUGCUUCUCUCGGACAAACUCAAUGAUUUCAUGCAGUUGGCACCCGUGCCACAUUCCAUAGAGAUAACAACAUUGAGGAGGAGGAGGGACAACGCAAGGUUUCUUCCUCAUAGGAAUUAGUUUCGAGGAAGUGGGGGGACGAUAUGGCAUGAUGAGCAGUUAACAAGGGAAGUUUGCAUGACUGUGGAGGACAAAGCAUUAAGACAAGUGUGCUAGUAGCUAGAUAAGGGAUGAAUGAUAGUAGGAAGGAAUAAUGAGCUUACUGGGUGAGGCUACUAUUUUUUAAGUUGCGACCUACUGAUCAUAACAACAAUUGAUCGUAACAACGUACCAUUGAUGAUUUAGGGUAUUGAUUUAGUAACUGUCAGGAUGUGACUACAGCUUGUAAGUGGUGGGUUGUAUAUUACUAACAAGUAGCAUGUUUAGCCUCAAUAUUGUCCUCUGUCACUCGUAACAACGUGCCAUUGACGGACCACAUAUUGGGCCCGUCACUACUACCUUUUUCAAACAAAAAUAUAAUUUUAGUUAUAGUCAGAUUCACAACAAUCCCACCGGCCAUUAGUGUUAAGUAGCAUUGCUGACCGGUUUUUUGAACCACCACUUUUGAUCGAUAACUAGGCGAGAACUCUAGUGUAGUGCACAUUUGUUUGAUUGAGAAUUUUUAGUGUUUUUAUGUGCACAAAGACAUAUCGUUCAACCCUAACAUGUUCUCUUUAGGUGGGGUCGAGAGUGAAGGACUGGGGAGCUUGGAAGCAGGGGAAAUGGCACCUCGAGGGGUUCAGGUCUCCAUGAUCAAUAACCACAAUUUUGAUCUGAUGAGCUGCCGACUGAGCAUGAGUAGCUCAAGAAGGAGUAGUCACCCGUGGAGCAAGAGUAGCCGCCUAUGGCACAACAUGAGCUUUAAUAUUCACAAUGGUUGGAGGCUACUCAAAUCCCGCUUGUGUGAGCAAAAAUAACUCUUGGCCCAAAGUAUAGCCCUGUCAGAAAUUAUCGAAACAAUAUCCUUAUCCCAAGGACGAUUGUAAAGCUUAUGUGGAACUUUUCAAUUUCUUGCUUCCUAUUUUUUGGUGAUUGACUGACGCUAUUGCUAAACUUGAGGGAAGGACUUGGUAUACUGCCUCAUGAUCAACGUGUCACCUGGAAUGGCUUUUCUAUUCAUUUCCCAUGAUGGUUUUGAUAUGUAGAUUGUUUGAACAAGCAUUUAUUCAUUCGGUAAAGCUUUGUGAAACAUCAACGGUGGAGCUAGGUCUCUCGUCAUGUGAAAUGACAGUAGGUCAAGAAGUGUGUUGGAUCAUGAGAUAACAUAUUUUCUAAGUUGUUAAUCAUGUGUGUUAACACCAUGGGUAGUAUGAGAGAAGGUCAACAUGCAUGUUUGGGUCUAAAAUGACCUCAUGACCAAAAAGGGAGAGAAACAUGGCUAAUAGGAAUACGAACAAUAUGGAAGUUACUUGUUGCAUGGAUGUUAACUGUGGUUAUGAAACCACACAAGAUGUCAGAGGACCCGCAUCCUUACAUAUCAAGGUUGACUUCACAUGCCAACUAGAUUUCGACUAAAUUAUUGUAUAUGUAUGUAUGUUAUAUCUUGACAUCUUAACAAACAAAAAACACCAAAAAAUACACUAUUUACUUCUCUUUGAUGCAUAUUCUAGUUGGAGGGUAAUCAUAACCUUAUGUGGAUAUUUUUCCAUAAUAGAAUAUAUAAUGGUCUAGUGAGGCAAGGUGUAAAUGGAGAGGACAAUAGUCGAACAUGAAAACAUCCAACAUUGUGUUAUAGUUGCAUCAAGUUGUCUAGUGACUCAAUAUGGAAAUGGAGGAGGCUCAUAGGGCAACACGAGAACACCCAACAUGUUGCUCUACUUACUUCCUAUUGGUACGAAGAGACCGAGAGUAGUGAAAGGUUAAUCAUAACACAUGGACAAGAUAUCUCAUACAAGAUGAAAAUGGAGUGAGUCUUGUAUGAAAAUGCUAACAAAGUAUGAGUGUGCAUAGCAUGCCAUCCCCUCCCUUUCUUGUUCGAGUUUCCUUCACCAACCCCAUAGUACCCUGAUCAACACUAUUAUUUGGAUAUGCUUCUCAUCCGAGAAAGAAUCGUUAUUGAGAGACAUUUAUAUCAUUGUCUAGAUAGACUUGUUCAAGGGCCAAUAAUGGAGGUUUCUUAUCUAUUAUAGCCACAUUCCGGAGAAGAAUAAAAAAAGUAGACACAACCUGAUAAUUUAUUGAGAUUUGAAUUGAGGAUCCACAUACAUCAACUAUCCUACAUGUGAAUCAAAUCCACAUCCUACAUGGGCAUUGGGCUUUAGUUAGACUACCACUUUAUGGACAAGCCAUGUGCUCCAUGUAGUCUAUGUUGCAAAGGCGGGAGGACAAGGAGUAAAUAGUUUUCGAUGGCUGGACAUUGAAGUUAUUUGUCAAGAAAUUUGUUUCCUGACAUGGUUUGUUUAUUUCAUUAUUUAGUAUUUGAUAUCGGUUCAGUGCUCUAGUAUGUAACAUUCUUCUCACAUUUUGGGUCUAGCUCUUGGUGUUCAUGAGUUCAUUGCUUAUGUUAACUAUUAUUGUUGUGCCCACUUGUUCGACAAGAGACUAUAAAGUUAACUAAGAUACUGUCAUAUUUAUAUUAAUAUAGUUGGCAUUGAGGUAAUCAUAAAUCUUGAAUACUACUCAUAUUUGUCAAAUAGGAGGUCAAGCUGGAUCUGUCUGGCGCAUCAUCUAUGGUCACAUGGUGUAUUGUCUAUUCUAAACCCAAUGAGUAUUGCAGAAUGACAUGUUCCUGCGAGGAGGAAUGAGUCACUCUUUUGUGUCAAGGGGUGAUGCCAUGCCUCAUAAUUGACAAUAAAAAAUUAACCACCUACAUGAAAAGUCUAACCCAAGACAGGGAAUAUGCGCCAUUGCAAUUUUACCGCACAAAGUCAUCGGUAUUUUGCAAUUGAAUGUUCCCCAUGUUGUGAAUGAGAACACAAAACACAAAACACCCCACAAAACACUAUUCACUUCUCUUCGAUGCAUAUUCUAGUGGAAGGGUAGUCAUAACCAUAUGGGAAUAUUUUACCACAAUAGAAUCUAUAAUGGUCUAGUGAGGCAAGGUUUAAAUGGAGAGGAUAAUAGGCGAACAUGGAAACAACCAACAUUGUGUUUUACUUGCAUCUAGUUGUAUAGUGAGAUAAUAUUGAAACGGAGGAGGCUUAUAGGGCAACAUGAGAACACCCAAUAUGUUGCUCUACUUACUUCCUAUUGUUACCAAGGGACUGAGGCUCGAGCAUGGUUAAUCAUAACACAUGGAGAAGAUGUCUCAUACUAGUUGAUAAUAGAGUGAAUCUUGUAUGAAAAUGCUAACAAAGUAUGAGUGUGCAUAACAUGCCAUCUCCUCCCUUUCUUGUUGUAUUUUCCUUCACCAACCCCCAUAGUACCCUGAUCAGCACUAUUAAUUUGAUAUGCUUCACAUCUGAGUUAGAAUUGUGAUUGGGAAUAGUUGUAUCAUUAUCUAAGUAGACUUCUUCAAGGGGAAAUAAUGGAUGUGUCUUAUCUAUUAUAGCCACAUUCCGGAUAGGAAUGAAAAAGUAGACAUAACAAGAUAAUUUGUUGAGAUUUGAAUCGAAAAUUCAACAUACAUCAACUAUUCUACAUGUAAAUCAAAUCCUCAUCCUACAUCGGCAUUCGGCUUUAUGGACAAGCCGUGUGGUCCAUGUGGUCUACGUCACAAAUGCCAGAGGACAAGGAGAAAAUAGUUGUCGAUGAUUGAUCAUUGAAGUUAUUUGUCAAGAAAUUUUUCCCCGACAUGGUUCAUUUAAUUCAUUAUUUAGUAUUUGAUAUCGGUUCUAUGCUCUAAUGUGUAACCUUCUUCUCAUGAUUUGGGUCUAGCUAUCAGUGGUCAUGAGUUCAUUACUUAUGUUAACUACUAUUGUUGUGUCCACUUGUUCGCCAAGAGACUAUAAAGUUAACUUAUAUCCUCCCAUAUUUAUAUUAAUAUAGUUUGUGGUUAGGUAAUCCUUGACCUUGAAUAUUACUCACAUUUGUCAAAUAGGAGGCCAAGCUGGAACUGUCUAGUGCAUCAUCUGUGGUCACAUAUGGUGUAUUGCCUAUUCUAAACCCAAUGAGUAUUACAUUAUGGCAUGUGCCUGCGAGGAGGAACUGAGUUACUCUUUUAUGUCUAGGGGAGACGGCAUGCCUAAUGAUUCUCAAUGAAAUAUUAUAGCCUACAUCAAAAGUCUAACCCAAGAAAGUGAAUAUGUGCCAUUGUAAUUUUACAACACUAAGGGCGUGUUCUGAUCUUGUCCCGCUCCAUGCUUCACAAAUUCCUGGAGCAGAUACGAGCCGAACGAAAUAGCAGCGAGAAGCUAACUCCAGGAAGCUAGAAUCGACCGCAGCGCAAAAUCAUGAAGCAGACUCGGCCCAGCUCCACCAAUCCGAAAAGCUGAAGUUGGCCGAUAUUACAAGUAAACUGCCACAGCCAAGUCAUACGAGUCGAACCGGUACGCUCGAUCUGUUUGAUCGCUCCUCGUUCCGUCGCUCGUGCUCCCUCGUUGCUCCUCUACAAGGCCGAUUUGGGUUGCCUCCAGUCAGCCCAACUAGCUCGAACAGGCCACAACCCUUCUAGCUAGGUUGCAGUGCCGCGAGAAGCUGCAAACCGAGCCAAACAGAUUUUUCAUCGCUGCUUGGAGUGAGAAGCUACUCUGAAAAGAUGAAUUUCUGAAGUUUUGGGAAGCUAGAGGAGAUCAGAAAAGGCCCUAAGUCAUCGGUAUUUCAUAAUUGAAUGUUCUCCAUGUCAUGACUUCUGAUGGUGUAAAUCCAAAUAAUUGCCAUUGUGAAAUUAAAUUCCUUUCCUGAGUCAGAACCCACAUCCGUAAAGAUGUGCCACUACAAUCCACCUCAUGGCUAUCUUGGAGUCCUUAAUAUAAUCAAGUGUGCCCAAUAUGGUGACUUAAUAUGUACUUAUUGACCCUACGAAGCUAAUCGCCUCCAUCAAGACCCCUUCCUGGUUCUCCUAUAACUAGAUUCCUCGAAACCACGAGAAUCCUUACAAUGGGAUUACAACUUAGCACCUUUCGUUUUCACAUAGUAAGAAGAGUUGCUCCUUGGAUAGCACGGUACGAUCAAAGGUGUAACCUGUGUUUCGGAGCGAGUUAUUGUCUCGAAACUUUGUUCUCAACUAUUCCGAUUCCAGCAAACGGAGGCCAUUGGGUCAAAGCUGUAGCGCACGCCCUGUAGUUUUGAAGUGGGGCGAGACAACUUAGCUAGGAACCUAUUUUCAUUCUGACCAGCUCCCUGAAAACAAUGUUCGACUUCAUGUGUAGUCGGUGUAGAUGUGUCAUUGCAAUUCCACCACUAGGAUAUCACCAAGUCCUAUGUAUUACAUGUCAACAUAUGCCACCAUAUGGUUACUUGACAAAUUAAAUGGAUUUCACCAAGAUUUCAUGUUACAAUUAUAGUGAAGAUAGUGACUCACAUGUCAGCCUCCCUGACGGGAAGCAAAAUCACUCUGACUUUGGCAACCUAAUUCUUGGCGGGUUCAAGCAGACAUGUCGGAUUUGUAUUUUAUGUAUUUCAACAUAUAUAAUUCAUAUAAAUAAAUCAAUUCAUAAUAGGAGUCUUGGAGACACCGAUGUCAAUAAUGUGAAAUUAUGGGAAAUCUUAUUAUGUGCAUCAACAUAAGCCAGAACUCGUGGCUUAAGAGAUAUGUUUACAAUCUUCCAAUGGUUAUUCCCCCUACUAAAUUCAUGAUGUUAACUAGUUCCCAUAAGUUGAGAAAGAAGUUUAGUCAUGGGAUCAAUGUCCAGUGCAUCAUAUUUCCAGUUCCCAAAAAAAUUUAUUAUGGAAGUUGAGAAAGAAGUUUGGGCAACAUAUUUCCAGACAACUGUCAUGUCUAGGAUCUUCUCAAGCCUAGGUAAGCUUAGUCACGGGAUCAAUGCAGGCUAUUAGUACAUUGACCCGGUUCUUAAUUCAAGUCCUCCUUGCUUGAUACAAUAUUGAAUGGAAAGUACAUAAUCAAUUUAUUUAAGUGGGUGAACAAUGUUGGCUAGUAUAUUUCAACACUCACCUCACAUGCAUCUUUUAGAGGCAUAUAAUGCAUCGUGAUGGAAACAUUUUUUCUAUAGACUAAAUUCCAAUGGAAAAUUUUAAUUAAUUUAAUUAGUAGCAAUCUCGUAUGGUAAGGAUAUAUGGAAAAUGAAAAUGAGGGCUCAAAUGCUACUUGUUGGCACACAAAAGUCAUGUUGUCUUUUUCCUCCCAUGUUGAUCCUCCGUGGUUCGACAUUGGGCAUUACAAAGAGAACAAGUUAUCUUUACACACCUCUAGAGCUACCAGACCCUGGAUGCUCCACCAUGAAUGUCCAUAUGGUGCAAUGAGUGAUAGCGAGCUAUAUUAGAACAUAUAGUUUACACCGUUAAAGUAAUUAAAUGGGCUAUUUUGGCUACUAUGAAAAAUAGUAUUUUAAGAGAAAACUAUGUAAGAGUUUGUGAUCUUUGUAUGUAAAAGCAUUAUUUGCCUUUGCUUGGUGUUCACGCAGUUUGAUUUAUGGCAAAAAUGUAAAAUCAUGGGACAAUAAUUGUUGAUAUUCUUUGCGGGGAAAGCGAGAUCUUUCCACUUUUCAGAUCACACAAAGUAUUGUUUUUCUUAUAGGGGUGAUAUACAGUGUUCUAAAUCUGCACUUGUGAUUCGUUGUCCAUUUAAAUUUAAAUGGUUUCUUCCACAGAUUAUGUUGGUUUGUUGUUGUAUUUAUCUCAGCUCUAAAGUAUACUGAUGUUAGCUAAGUCCAAUCAAAGGCCCAAGUUACAUAAGCCCAGACUACGUGAAAUACACAUCAUGCAGUACACAUGUUCAUCUUAGUGUUAUGUUAUACUUGGCUCCGAGAUAACAAAUGAUAUCAAUUAUUACUAUCUUUUGCAGCUUGUUUCUGCCUGUUCAUCGUAGAAUUAUCUUAUGUGGUCUCCCAAGGUUCAUGCAACUUGGAUUUUCAUACUUUGGUAGUAUUAGUGUUCACUAGGACUAGGUGCCACUCUGUAGAAGCUAAGGAUACAGAUGGAGAAAGUAGUCAUGGUUUUUUUUUCAAAAAGUUUGUUCAUAUCUAUAAGAGGUUUAUGAUUUUUCAGUGUAUACUGUUGUGAAACCUAGAGUGUUUUAUCUCAUUUGACAUUGAACUACGCUUUGAAGGAAAAACCUUCAUUUGACAUCGAACUAUGCAUGCAGGGCAAACACCCCGUGCUUCGGUGCCACCGCGCCGCGAACCCUGGGAGCUUGAACCUGGAUGGGUGUGAACUUAAGAUUGAUGUCAAUGUUAGGGGUCAGUCAUGGAUAGAGAAUAAAGGGGACUUUGCGAAACUGUUAUUAAUAAUAUGGAUGAAACAUUGCCUUGUGGAGAGAAUAAGAUAUUUCGAGAGAUAUUUAUAAAUGGAUGCAUACUUGCAAUAGCAGUACAAAAUAUGAUGCUAACAUUUUAUUUUCAUAGUUGUUCCCAUUAAACUUCUGGUGGUGGCUCCAUUAUUCACAGUCUCGCACAUGAAAUGUUAUUUCGUUCGGGUAAAUGUUGCGUGUCGUUGCUCCUGUAGUUUUGCGGUUUGCAUGUCCUUGAAACUUGUGAAUUGGAUUUUACGAAGUUGCAAUGCAAAUUUGGGAUGCAGGGAAGAUAAUAAACAAUGCUUUCUAAGAGCAUUGGACAUUGGAUGCGACUCAGAAAGAACGCAUGCAAACGCAAGAUGCAAGACGUAGUAGGCACAUGUCCAGGUUUAUUAAGAGCACCUACACCGGACGCCUCAUAUCUGUCACAGACGCAAAAUUGCCGGUCAGCACUAGGACGCAAAAUUGCCACCCAACAGGAUCUGUCAAACCCGGCCCAAACGUCUAGACAUGACCGCACUUCCUAUAUCCAGCCCAUAUCUCGGACGGAUAUGUGGAAGCCCAGAGACGCCCGGACACACCCGCCAUGUAGGAUCCGGCCGAGUGCGGCCCACCCGACCCCACAUAAAUUGGACCCUAUCCGCACUCCGAGCGAAACCCAAGCGGCAUUCAACUCCACUCUACUCCUUGCCAGGCCACUCCCGUCCACCCACAAGCCCCAUUUGCAAAUCUCCCACCAUUUCGAGCCGUUGAACCGGAGAUCGUCCCACGCGGCCCCAAGGAGGAGAUGGUCGACUGCCUUGCGCUUCUCCACUACCGGAGGAGUCCGCCCAGCAGCGGUCGAAAUCCAUCUGGUGGGAAUCCAUUGCGUCUGCCAGAAUGGAGCAUGGAUCCCGCCCGAGGGCAGUCUACGCUGCCUUAGCAGAGGCAGUGCACUCCGUCUGGCGUCCGAACGCCGUGGAGGAUACACAACCACUUUGUUGGCGCACUGAGAAAGAUAAGCACACCCACUUAAUGUCUGAUAUUAAUAUGGUGUGUGGCGCAUCCACCGUGUUAGGCAAUGGGCACGGGAACCCGCGGCAGCCCUCGUGCCAGACGCCAGCGGGGCAGACUCGCACUCUUCGGUGCCUCGUAUCGUGCCCGGCAGCCCUUGGCGCCGAAAUCAUGUCGCGUUGGAUGCGGCCGGCUCCACCAUCAUGGAUCAAUCAUCGACCUCACAUCCACCGACGACAGGAGAGCACGGGCUCCGACGAGAAAGAGUAGGCCAUGGGAGAUGGCGCCGAAUCGAGUUUCUUUUGCCGGGUCGUGUCCCAUGUCCUACUCUACCUCACCAGAGACCGACCCUCCACUUCGACAGGCUCAGACAGCCAUCGGACAUGGACAGGUUAGGAACAACAAGGACAGUCGCUGGCACAAAUUUAGACUACAGCCAUCGACGCAAGGUGAGCGCGGCAUGAGUUAAUCGCUGAAGAGGUUGGGCCGUUGUCGCCGGUUUGUCGUACAGUUGCCGACGUAGUCGUCCAUGACCACCAGAUCGACGCCGCUGUCACUGCAAGUCUAGGCGUCUCUGUAGUGGCUGAAGUCAUUUUAGUGUAUUUUCUUUGUAUUGUGAUGAUUGCAUACUGUGUUGCGUAUUGUGGCGUAUUUUCUUUGUAUUGUGAUGAUUGUAUACAGUACAAUGUAUUGUGGCAUAUUUUUUGUGGUCUAUUUUUAAAAAGAAAACUAUAAAUAGCUAAAAGUGGUGUGCAGAAUAAAUUUAUACCCGCCACUACAAAACAAAUGCCAGUACUGACACAUAUUUUUGCCCACCAUCAAUAGUAAUGACCGCCACUGCUACAAGAUCGAGGUCGAUGGCGGGCUGUUUGUAACGCCCGCCACUGUUAUAGUCAUUGGCAGGUGGAGCGCCCGCCACUAAUGCCAUGUUGCCAGUGGCAGGCGCCUCUGAGAGCCUUACCCGUCAUUACUAGGCUUUUGAUGCCGCCACUGCUACGCACUCCUGCAAUAGUGUGCAAUUGCAUAUCUAGUAGAACAUAUACAACUAUCCUCCCAACAAACAGUUUCGUUCUACCAUGAAGUUAUAGUCGGGGUGAAGACAUUCAUUUAUAAUUGGAAGUGACGUUGCAGUUGCAUAUCAAGUAGGAGAUAUUUAACUGCCCUAAUGACAAAACACUUUUGUUCCCUGAGUUACAGUCGCAUUGGAGACAUGCAUUAGCGAAAUGACACCACCUGUAGUUGCGUGUUUGGAGUUAGACAUGCAACUAGCUCCACAAUAAUAAUCUGAAUUUUAAGUUUUAAUGAAUUUUAAAUUAAAGAAAAAAGAAAAGAUGCGAAUAUAAAAACAGAAAUAGAGAAAACAAACAAUAGGAAAAAUCCUAAAAAAGGCAAAAACAAAGAAAGGAAAAACUUGUUUGAAGUUUCUAGAAGCUUCAUAAAACCAGUAGAAAGAGUCCUACAUGGGGCGGCCCACUCACACAUGUAAAAAGAGGCGGGCGAGGUGUAUGUCGACUAGCUCAGAGUUGGGGAAUCCUAUUCCGCGCAUAGGUCGCUACGUAGCGACCUAGCGCGUACCCCUCGGGUUUGUGGUCCUGUUCGGGUCGGUCCAUUCCAGGUUCUUCCCCAUACCGGUUUUUAGGAAAGUUCUAGAGCUUUUUUUCUAUUUUCUUUGUUUUCUUCUAGUUUUUUAUUUCUUUUAUAUUUUAUAUAUCACUUCUUAUUUUCUUUUACUUUAAAUUUUCUUUUUUGGUGUUGCAAACAUAUUUUCAAAUUCGUAAACGUUUAUUGAAUUCAAGAACAGUUUUUGAGUUGACAAACAUAUAUCUGAAAUAAUGAACAUUUUCUAAUUCAACAGUACAUUUUAAAAUCACAAAAUAACAAAAAAAUAACUUUUGAGGACAUUUUUAAAAAAUUCUGAACAUGUUUGUCAAUCGGCCGACAUUUUUUGAAUCGAUGAACAUUUCUAUGAAUUGGCAUGAUUUUUUUGAAUUGGUAAACAUUUUUUGAAUCGAUGACCAUUUUUUGAAUCAAUGAAUAUUUUUUACAUGAAUGAACAUUUUUGGAAAUUCACAAUAUUUUUUUUAAACAUUUUAAAAACUUGUUGAACAUUGCUUGUAUCUCAACUUCCGUCCUGAUUAAUUAAAUAAAGUGGUGAUACCCAUCAAAAGAAAAUAGCUACGGUUGGCACAAAAUUCGCGAUCAACGAAGGAAUAGACUGUUGAGGAACGUUGCAGAAAAUUAAAAUUUUUCCUACGGUUUCACCAAGAUCCAUCUAUGAGUUCAUCUAAGCAACGAGUCAAGGGGAAGAGUUUGCAUCUACAUACCACUUGUAGAUCACGAGCGGAAGCUUGUCAAGGGGAUGGUGAUGAUGGAGUCAUACUCGAACGUGAUUCGGAUCACCGAUGUCCAAGUGCUGAACGGACAGCACCCCCGCGUUCAACACACGUACGGGACGGGAGACGUCUCCUCCGUCUUGAUCCAGCAAGGAGGAAGGAGAGGUUGAGGAAGGCAGCUCCAACGGCAGCACGACGGCGUGGUGUAGUUGGUGCAGCAGUACUUCGACCGAGCUUCGCCAAGCACGUACGGAGGAGGAGAGGUGUUGGGGAGGGGAGGGGCUGCGCCUUGAGUUGUGGUGUAUUGCAGCCCUCCCCUCACCCCUCUAUAUAUAGGGGAAGGGGCAAGGGGGGCCGGCCCUCUAGGGAAAACCCUAGGGGGGGGGGGCGGCGGCCAAGGGGUGGGGGGCUUGCCCCCCAAGCAAGGGGGGUGCGCCCCCUUUAGGGUUUCCCCCCCAACCCUAGGCGCAUGGGCCCAAAGGGGGGGGGCGCGCCAAGCCCACCAGGGGCUGGCUGCUAUCCCAAUGCAGCCCAAGUGGCCACCCGGGAGGGGUGGUCCCUCCCGGUGGACCCCCGGAACCUUUCCGGUGGUCCCGGUACAAUACCGGUAUGACCCCGAAACUUUCCGGUACCCGUUUAACAACUUCCCAUAUAUAAAACUUUACCUCCGGACCAUUCCGGAACUCCUCAUGACGUCCGGGAUCUCAUCCGGGACUCCGAACAACAUUCGGUAAUCACAUACUUGUCUUCCUGAUAACCCUAGCGUCACCGAACCUUAAGUGUGUAGACCCUACGGGUUCGGGAGACAUGCAGACAUGACCGAGACUCUCCGGUCAAUAACCAACAGCGGGAUCUGGAUACCCAUGCUGGCUCCCACAUGCUCCUCGAUGAAGUCAUCGGAUGAACCACGAUGUCAAGGAUUCGAUCAAACCCCGUAUACAAUUCCCUUUGUCAAUCGGUACGUUACUUGCCCGAGACUCGAUCGUCGGUAUCCCAAUACCUUGUUUAGUCUCGUUACUGGCAAGUCACUUUACUCGUACCGUAAUGCAUGAUCCCGUGGCCAACACCUUGGUCACCUUGAGCUCAUUAUGAUGAUGCAUUACCGAGUGGGCCCAGAGAUACCUCUCCGUCAUACGGAGUGACAACUCCCAGUCUCGAUCCGUGUCAACCCAAUAGACACUUUCGGAGAUACCUGUAGUGCACCUUUAUAGUCACCCAGUUACGUUGUGAUGUUUGAUACACCCAAAGCAUUCCUACGGUAUCCAGGAGUUACACGAUCUCAUGGUCGAAGGAAGAGAUACUUGACAUUGGAAAAGCUCUAGCAAACGAACUAACCGACCUUUGUGCUAUGCUUAGGAUUGGGUCUUGUCCAUCACAUCAUUCUCCUAAUGAUGGGAUCCCGUUAUCAACGACAUCCAAUGUCCAUAGCCAGGAAACCAUGACUAUCUGUUGAUCACAACGAGCUAGUUAACUAGAGGCUUACUAGGGACAUAUUGUGGUCUAUGUAUUCACACGUGUAUUACGAUUUCCGGAUAAUACAGUUAUAGCAUGAAUAAAAGACUAUUAUCAUGAACAAAGAAAUAUAAUAAUAACACUUUUAUUAUUGCCUCUAGGGCAUAUUUCCAACAGUCUCCCACUUGCACUAGAGUCACUAAUCUAGUUACAUUGUGAUGAAUUGAACACCCAUAGAGUUCUGGUGUUGAUCAUGUUUUGCUCGCGAGAGAGGUUUAGUCAACGGAUCUGCGACAUUCAGAUCUGUAUGUACUUUGCAAAUUUCUAUGUCUCCAUCUUGAACAUUUUCACGGAUGGAGUUGAAACGACGCUUGAUGUGCCUGGUCUUCUUGUGAAACCUGGGCUCCUUGGCAAGGGCAAUAGCUCCAGUGUUGUCACAGAAAAGUUUGAUUGGCCCCGACGCAUUGGGUAUGACUCCUAGGUCGGUGAUGAACUCCUUCACCCAAAUAGCUUCAUGCGCUGCCUCCGAGGCUGCCAUGUACUCCGCUUCACAUGUAGAUCCCGCCACGACGCUCUGCUUGCAGCUGCACCAGCUUACUGCUCCACCAUUCAACAUAUACACGUAUCCGGUUUGUGACUUAGAGUCAUCCAGAUCUGUGUUGAAGCUAGCGUCGACGUAACCCUUUACGACGAGUUCUUCGUCACCUCCAUAAAUGAGAAACAUGUCCUUUGUCCUUUUCAGGUACUUCAGGAUAUUCUUGACCGCUGUCCAGUGUUCCUUGCCGGGAUUACUCUGGUAUCUUGCUACCAAACUUACGGCAAGGUUUACAUCAGGUCUGGUACACAGCAUGGCAUACAUAAUAGAUCCUAUGGCUGAAGCAUAGGGGAUGACACUCAUCUCUUCUUUAUCUUUUGCCGUGGUCGGUGACUGAGCUGAGCUCAAUCUCACACCUUGUAACAUAGGCAAGAACCCUUUCUUGGACUCAUCCAUUUUGAACUUUUUCAAAAUCUUAUCAAGGUAUGUGCUUUGUGAAAGACCUAUGAGGCGUCUCGAUCUAUCUCUAUAGAUCUUGAUGCCUAAUAUAUAAGCAGCUUCUCCAAGGUCCUUCAUUGAAAAACAUUUGUUCAAGUAGGCCUUAAUGCUGUCCAGAAAUUCUAUAUUAUUACCCAUCAAGAGUAUGUCAUCCACAUAUAAUAUGAGAAAUGCUACAGAGCUCCCACUCACUUUCUUGUAAACGCAGGCUUCUCCAUAAGUCUGCAUAAACCCAAACGCUUUGAUCAUCUCAUCAAAGCGAAUAUUCCAACUCCGAGAUGCUUGCACCAGCCCAUAAAUGGAUCGCUGGAGCUUGCAUACUUUGUUAGCGUUCUUAGGAUCGACAAAACCUUCCGGCUGCAUCAUAUACAACUCUUCCUUAAGAUGCCCGUUAAGGAAUGCCGUUUUGACGUCCAUCUGCCAUAUCUCAUAAUCAUAGUAUGCGGCAAUUGCUAACAUGAUUCGGACGGACUUAAGCUUCGCUACGGGAGAGAAUGUCUCGUCGUAGUCAAUCCCUUGAACUUGUCGAUAACCCUUAGCGACAAGUCGAGCUUUAUAGAUGGUGACAUUACCAUCCGCGUCCGUCUUCUUCUUAAAGAUCCAUUUGUUUUCUAUCGCUCGCCGAUCAUCGGGCAAGUCAGUCAAAGUCCAUACUUUGUUUUCAUACAUGGAUUCUAUCUCGUAUUUCAUGGCUUCUAGCCAUUUGUUGGAAUCUGGGCCCGCCAUCGCUUCUUCAUAGUUCGAAGGUUCACCGUUGUCUAACAACAUGAUUUCCAGGACAGGGUUGUCGUACCACUCUGGUGCGGAACGUGUCCUUGUGGACCUACGAAGUUCAGUAGCAACUUGAUCCGAAGUACCUUGAUCAUCAUCAUUGGUUUCCUCUUCAGUUGGUGUGGGCAUCACAGGAACAUUUUCCUGAGCUGCAUCACUUUCCCGUUCGAGAGGUAGUACUUCAUCAAGUUCUACUUUCCUCCCACUUACUUCUUUCGAGAGAAACUCUUUUUCCAGAAAGCAUCCGUUCUUGGCAACAAAGAUCUUGCCCUCGGAUCUUAAGUAGAAGGUAUACCCUACAGUUUCCUUAGGGUAUCCUAUGAAGACGCAUUUGUCCGACUUGGGUUCGAGCUUUUCAGGUUGAAGUUUCUUGACAUAAGCAUCGCGUCGCCAAACUUUUAGAAACGACAGCUUAGGUUUCUUCCCAAACCAUAAUUCAUACGGUGUCGUCUCAACGGAUUUAGACGGUGCCCUAUUUAAAGUGAAUGUAGCUGUCUCUAGAGCGUAUCCCCAAAAUGAUAGCGGUAAAUCGGUAAGAGACAUCAUAGACCGCACCAUAUUCAAUAGAGUGCGAUUACGACGUUCGGACACACCAUUUCGCUGAGGUGUUCCAGGCGGCGUGAGUUGUGAAAUGAUUCCACAUUUCCUUAAGUGUGUGCCAAAUUCGUGACUUAAAUAUUCUCCUUCACGAUCUGAUCGUAGGAACUUUAUCUUUCGGUCACGUUGAUUCUCCACCUCAUUCUGAAAUUCGUUGAACUUUUCAAAGGUCUCAGACUUGUGUUUCAUUAAGUAGACAUACCCAUAUCUGCUUAAGUCAUCAGUGAGAGUGAGAACAUAACGAUAUCCUCUGCGAGCCUCAACGCUCAUUGGACCGCACACAUCGGUAUGUAUGAUUUCCAACAAGUUGGUUGCUCACUCCAUUGUUCCGGAGAACGGAGUCUUGGUCAUUUUUCCCAUGAGGCAUGGUUCGCAUGUGUGAUUCAUAAUCAAGAGACUCUAAAAGUCCAUCGGCAUGGAGCUUCUUCAUGCGCUUCACACCAAUGUGACCAAGUUGGCAGUGCCACAAGUAUGUGGGACUAUCGUUAUCAACUUUACAUCUUUUGGCAUCUACACUAUGAACAUGUGUAAUAUUACGCUCGAGAUUCAUUAAUAAUAAACCAUUGACCAUCGGAGCAUGACCAUAAUACAUAUCUCUCAUAUAAAUCGAACAACCAUUAUUCUCAGACUUAAAUGAGUAGCCAUCUCGUAUUAAACGAGAUCCAGAUACAAUAUUCAUGCUCAAACUUGGCACUAAAUAACAAUUAUUAAGGUUCAAAACUAAUCCCGUAGGUAAAUGUAGAAGCAGCGUGCCGACGGCGAUCACAUCGACUCUGGAACCAUUCCCGACGCGCAUCGUCACCUCGUCCUUCGCCAGUCUCCGUUUAUUCCGCAGCUCCUGCUGUGAGUUACAAAUAUGAGCAACGGCACCGGUAUCAAAUACCCAGGAGUUACUACGAGUACUGGUAAGGUACACAUCAAUUACAUGUAUAUCAAAUAUACCUUUGGUGUUGCCGGCCUUCUUAUCCGCUAAGUAUUUGGGGCAGUUCCGCUUCCAGUGACCCUUCCCCUUGCAAUAAAAGCACUCAGUCUCAGGCUUGGGUCCAUUCUUUGACUUCUUCCCGGCAACUGGCUUACCGGGCGCGGCAACCUCUUUGCUGUCCUUCUUGAAGUUCUUUUUACCCUUGCCCUUCUUGAACUUAGUGGUCUUAUUGACCAUCAGCACUUGAUGUUCUUUCUUGAUUUCAACCUCUGCUGACUUCAGCAUAGAAAAUACUUCAGGAGUGGUCUUUACCAUCCCCUGCAUAUUGUAGUUCAUCACAAAGCUCUUGUAGCUUGGUGGGAGCGACUGAAGGAUUCGGUCAACGACUGCCUCAUCAGGGAGGUUAAUAUUCAGCUGGGUCAUACGGUUGUGCAACCCAGACAUCUUGAGUAUUUGCUCACUGACAGAACUAUUUUCCUCCAUCUUACAACUAUAGAACUUGUCGGAGAUGUCAUAUCUCUCGACCCGGGCGUGAGCUUGAAAUACUAGUUUCAGCUCUUCGAACAUCUCAUAUGCUCCGUGAUGCUCAAAACGUUUUGGAGCCCCGGUUCUAAGCUGUAAAGCAUGCCGCACUGAACGAGGGAGUAAUCAUCAGCACGAGACUGCCAAGCAUUCAUAAUGUCUUGGUUCUCUAGGACGGGAGCGUCACCUAGCGGUCCUUCUAGGACAUAUUGUUUCCUGACAGCUAUGAGGAUGAUCCUCAGGUUCCGGACCCAGUCCAUAUAGUUGCUGCCAUCAUCUUUCAGCUUGGUUUUCUCUAGGAACGCGUUGAAGUUCAUGUUGACAUGAGCGUUGGCCAUUUGAUCUACAAGACAUAUUUGCAAAGGUUUUAGACUAAGUUCAUGAUAAUUAAGUUCUAAUCAAAUUAUGAACUCCCACUUAGAUUAGACAUCCCUCUAGUCAUCUAAGUGUUACACGAUCCGAGUCGACUAGCCCGUGUCCGAUCAUCACGUGAGACGGACUAGUCAUCGUCGGUGAACAUCUUCAUGUUGAUCGUAUCUUCCAUACGACUCGUGUUCGACCUUUCGGUCUCCGUGUUCCGAGGCCAUGUCUGCACAUGCUAGGCUCGUCAAGUUAACCCUAAGUGUUUUCACUGUGUAAAACUGUCUUACACCCGUUGUAUGUGAACGUAAGAAUCCAUCACACCCGAUCAUCACAUGGUGCUUAGAAGUGACGAACUGUAGCAACGGUGCACAGUUAGGGGAGAACACUUCUUGAAAUUUUGUAAGGGAUCAUCUUAUUUACUACCGUCGUCCUAAGUAAACAAGAUGCAUAAAACAUAAUAAACAUCACAUGCAAUUAUAUAAAGUAGUGACAUGAUAUGGCCAAUAUCAUAUAGCUCCUUUGAUCUCCAUCUUCGGGGCUCCAUGAUCAUCUUGUCACCGGCAUGACACCAUGAUCUCCAUCAUCGUGUCUUCAUGAAGUUGUCACGCCAACGACUACUUCUACAUCUAUGACUAACGCGUUUAGCAAUAAAGUAAAGUAAGUUACAUGGCGUUCUUCAAUGACACGCAGGUCAUACAAAAAUAAAGACAACUCCUAUGGCUCCUGCCGGUUGUCAUACCCAUCGACAUGCAAGUCGUGAAUCCUAUUACAAGAACAUGAUCUCAUACAUCACAAUUCAUCAUUCAUCACAACUUCUGGCCAUAUCACAUCACAUGAUCAAUCGCUGCAAAAACAAGUUAGACGUCCUCUAAUUGUUGUUGCAUCUUUUACGUGGCUGCAAUUGGGUUCUAGCAAGAACGUUUUCUUACCUACGAAUAACCACAACGUGAUUUUGACAACUUCUAUUUACCCUUCAUAAGGGCCCUUUUCAUCGAAUCCGCUCCAACUAAAGUGGGAGAGACAGACACCCGCCAGCCACCUUAUGCAACUAGUGCAUGUUAAUCGGUGGAACCGGUCUCACGUAAGCGUACGUGUAAGGUUGGUCCGGGCCGCUUCAUCCCACAAUACCGCUGAAGCAAGAAAAUACUAGUAGAGGCAAGCAAGUUGACAAGAUCCACGCCCACAACAAAAUUGUGUUCUACUCGUGCAAAGAGAACUACGCAUAGACCUAGCUCAUGAUGCCACUGUUGGGGAACGUUGCAGAAAAUUAAAAUUUUUCCUACGGUUUCACCAAGAUCCAUCUAUGAGUUCAUCUAAGCAACGAGUCCAGGGGAAGAGUUUGCAUCUACAUACCACUUGUAGAUCACGAGCGGAAGCUUGUCAAGGGGAUGGUGAUGAUGGAGUCGUACUCGAACGUGAUUCGGAUCACCGAUGUCCAAGUGCUGAACGGACAGCACCUCCGUGUUCAACACACGUACGGGACGGGAGACGUCUCCUCCGUCUUGAUCCAGCAAGGAGGAAGGAGAGGUUGAGGAAGGCAGCUCCAACGGCAGCACGACGGCGUGGUGUAGUUGGUGCAGCAGUACUCCGAUAGAGCUUCGCCAAGCACAUACGGAGGAGGAGAGGUGUUGGGGAGGGGAGGGGCUGCGCCUUGAGUUGUGGUGUAUUGCAGCCCUCCCCUCACCCCUCUAUAUAUAAGGGAAGGGGCAAGGGGGGCCGGCCCUCUAGGGAAAACCCUAGGGGGGGCGGCGGCCAAGGGGUGGGGGGCUUGCCCCCCAAGCAAGGGGGAUGCGCCCCCUUUAGGGUUUCCCCCCCAACCCUAGGCGCAUGGGCCCAAAGGGGGGGGGGCGCCAAGCCCACCAGGGGCUGGCUGCUAUCCCUACGCAGCCCAAGUGGCCCCCCGGGAGGGGUGGUCCCUCCCGGUGGACCCUCGGAACCUUUCCGGUGGUCCCGGUACAAUACCGGUAUGACCCCGAAACUUUCCGGUGCUCGUUUAACAACUUCCCAUAUAUAAAACUUUACCUCCGGACCAUUUCGGAACUCCUCGUGACGUCCGGGAUCUCAUCCGGGACUCCGAACAACAUUCGGUAAUCACAUACUUGUCUUCCUGAUAACCCUAGCGUCACCGAACCUUAAGUGUGUAGACCCUACGGGUUCGGGAGACAUGCAGACAUGACCGAGACUAUCAGGUCAAUAACCAACAGCGGGAUCUGGAUACCCAUGUUGGCUCCCACAUGCUCCUCGAUGAAGUCAUCGGAUGAACCACGAUGUCGAGGAUUCGAUCAAACCCCGUAUACAAUUCCCUUUGUCAAUCGGUACGUUACUUGCCUGAGACUCGAUCAUCGGUAUCCCAAUACCUUGUUCAGUCUCGUUACUGGCAAGUCACUUUACUCGUACCGUAAUGCAUGAUCCCGUGGCCAACACCUUGGUCACCUUGAGCUCAUUAUGAUGAUGCAUUACCGAGUGGGCCCAGAGAUACCUCUCCGUCAUACGGAGUGACAAAUCCCAGUCUCUAUCCGUGUCAACCCAAUAGACUCUUUCGGAGAUACCUGUAGUGCACCUUUAUAGUCACCCAGUUACGUUGCGACGUUUGAUACACCCAAAGCAUUCCUACGGUAUCCAGGAGUUACACGAUCUCAUGGUCGAAGGAAGAGAUACUUGACAUUGGAAAAGCUCUAGCAAACGAACUAACCGACCUUUGUGCUAUGCUUAGGAUUGGGUCUUGUCCAUCACAUCAUUCUCCUAAUGAUGUGAUCCCGUUAUCGUCGACAUCCAAUGUCCAUAGCCAGGAAACCAUGACUAUCUGUUGAUCACAACGAGCUAGUCAACUAGAGGCUUACUAGGGACAUAUUGUGGUCUAUGUAUUCACACGUGUAUUACGAUUUCUGGAUAAUACAGUUAUAGCAUGAAUAAAAGACUAUUAUCAUGAACAAAGAAAUAUAAUAAUAAAACUUUUAUGAUUGCCUCUAGGGCAUAUUUCCAACAUAGACCUUCUCCCAGGAAGACCCGAUCAGACUCGGAAUCCCGGUUUACAAGACAUUUCGACAAUGGUAAAACAAGACCAGCAAAGCCUCCCGCUGUGCUGACAAAUCCCGAUAGGAGCUGCACAUAUCUCGUUCUCAGGGAACACCGGAUUGUCCAAACUUCCGGUAGGCUAGCCCAGAGUUGCCCCUGGUGGCCACCGGCGGCUGACAGGUUGGACCAACACUCACGACGAGCACUGGCCCGGGGGGGGGGGUAAAAUAAAGAUGACCCUUGAGUCUGCAGAACCCAAGGGAAAAAGGCUUAGGUAGGCAAAUGGUAAAACCAAGGUUGGGCCUUGCUGGAGGAGUUUUAGUCAAAGCGAACUGUCAAGGGGGUCCCAUAAAUCACCCAACCGCGUAAGGAACGCAAAAUCCGGGAACAUAACACUGGUAUGACGGAAACUAGGGCGGCAAGAGUGGAACAAAACACCAGGCAUAAGGCCGACUCUUCCAUCCUUUACCAAGUAUAUAGAUGCAUUAAUUAAAUAAGAGAUAUUGUGACAUCCCAACAUAAUCCUGUCCAUCAUGGAGCAAUCUUCAACUUCACCUGCAACUAGCAACGCUAUAAGAGGGCUGAGCAAAGCCGUAACAUAGCCAAGCAAUGGUUUGCUAGGAAUGGUGAAAAGGUUAGAGGCUGACAUGGCAAUAUGGGAGGCAUGGUAAACAAGUGAUAGGUAGCGCAGCACAGCGAUAGAACGAAGCAACUAGCAAGCAAAGAUAGAAGUGAUAUCAAGGGUAAUGGUCAUCUUGCCUGAAAUCCCGAUAGGAAGAACGAGUCCAUGAAGAAGACAAACGAACAUAGUCGAACGAAUCCUCACAACUCCGGAACGAAACCGAAGCUAACGAAAGAAGCAAACCGGAAAGAAGCAAACAACAUCGUAAACACACACGCAUAAACAUGGCAUGAUGCACAAACAAGUAUCAUGCAUGUCCGGUUUAAUGAGGCAUGGCAUGGCAAAGUGCAACAAACAAUACUACAAGUUAAGUGGAGCUCAAUAUGCAACGAGGUGCAUAUUGACGAAACACCACAUCAAUUAUUUAGUUCUCUCUCGUUUAGGCUAACAAACAAUAUUUAAUGUUGUUAAACAUGUCAAGAGGUGAAACAUAAUUAAACUAACUAUUUAGGCAAGUUUAAAUGAGGCCGGAAACAACAAACAACAAUUCCGGUAAAUCCCCAUAUGUCAAUUAGCAAUUUUAAAGCAAACAACAAUUUUAACCAUUUUAAAUGUUGUUAUCAUGAUGCGGAUGACAUAUGCAAGUUUUAUGCAAUUUUAUGAAAAUGUUGACAUGAGCAUGUUAUGAAGCAUUUGGUCACCAUGGCGGAACGAAAAGGGUGCCACGGCAACGAUAACCAAAAUGGUGCCACUGCAACAUAUCCGAAAAUGAUGCCACGGCAACAUAUCGGUCCCGAUAACUCAAGUGAGAUACCGAUGCAAACGAGAAGUGUGACGUGAGCGAGUCAUGCAAUAUGGUGGGGUGAUCCCGGCUACCGGGUUCCCAUGGGUUAGUGGCAUGGCAAAGAGCGACAAUUCGGACGCGGUGCACACACAAGCAUCUCAUACAACACAUAUUCAUUCGGUCCACGGUUGAUCGUCUCGGGGCUUAUACCUUCGAAGCGUGCGUUUUCGGAGCGGUUCAAAAACGUCGAGGGAAGUAGUCGUUCACGGGUCGUAGGGGAAGUAGUGGUUCACGUUCGUCUCGGAGAGGUACUUGACGAAACCAACAUCUUCGGGGCGACGGUAGUGGUUCACGGACGUCGUGGGAAGUAGUGGAAGUAGUUGUACACGGCGACGGUAGUUGUACACACGUUGUAGUCGAACUUGACGGUCUCGGUCCUGGCGAUCCAAAGGGCACUUGGCGGUUUUAAUCGAACCGUAGUGGUACUGGGCGAGAUACACAUCCACGGUAGUCUUCGGCCUUGAUUUUCCUGUACAUGGCUCCACAGGUCCUGAGGGGACUCGGCGAUGGCCAUGGCAAAGAGGCGGCGAGGCGUUGGACGGACUAACAGGCAGAGGUGGUCGUGGUAGUACUAGCUCAUGGGGAUGGCGGUCUUGGGCGGCAACAACCUGCCGUGUUGGUGCAGCAGCGGCUGCUGGAGAGGCCAUGGCUACAAGGGUGGCGAGCUCGAGCAAAUCCGACGAGGACGGCCGGGAUGGCUGGGGUUGCGAGGGAGCAGAGGUCGGCCGGUCGUGGCAGACGGCGGAGAGCACCUCAGCCACGGGGAAGGUGGACGGCGGGCUUCGGAGCAAGGGGAGGCAGAUGCGGGCGAGCGGAGCACGGCGGGGACGCGGGGAUGCUGAUGGCACGCGACAGAUAGACUUUUUUAGUUCGCACUCGUGUUCGUGUUGGAGACGGACUGCUCCUUCGUAUGCGAGACGGACGACGACGUGUUUUUUUCCUCUUCCCGGUUGAUGAUGCCCAUAUGGAGUGCGGGUUGAUUUCAUAAAAGAUGAGGGACUUGUUUGCAAAAACGCCGCAACGGUGAACCGAGAGACCCAAUCCGUGCUUUAUUAUUAGGGAGAGNNNNNNNNNNNNNNNNNNNNNNNNNNNNNNNNNNNNNNNNNNNNNNNNNNNNNNNNNNNNNNNNNNNNNNNNNNNNNNNNNNNNNNNNNNNNNNNNNNNNNNNNNNNNNNNNNNNNNNNNNNNNNNNNNNNNNNNNNNNNNNNNNNNNNNNNNNNNNNNNNNNNNNNNNNNNNNNNNNNNNNNNNNNNNNNNNNNNNNNNNNNNNNNNNNNNNNNNNNNNNNNNNNNNNNNNNNNNNNNNNNNNNNNNNNNNNNNNNNNNNNNNNNNNNNNNNNNNNNNNNNNNNNNNNNNNNNNNNNNNNNNNNNNNNNNNNNNNNNNNNNNNNNNNNNNNNNNNNNNNNNNNNNNNNNNNNNNNNNNNNNNNNNNNNNNNNNNNNNNNNNNNNNNNNNNNNNNNNNNNNNNNNNNNNNNNNNNNNNNNNNNNNNNNNNNNNNNNNNNNNNNNNNNNNNNNNNNNNNNNNNNNNNNNNNNNNNNNNNNNNNNNNNNNNNNNNNNNNNNNNNNNNNNNNAUAUAUAUAUAUAUAUAUAUAUAUAUAUAUAUAUUUCUAUCAUAGCUUACUAUGGAAAUAGCUAUCAGAACCGUCGGACUCUACCUCAAGAUUCGAACCGAAGUGUGGUCCGGUUCCUUUUCUUGUUCUUUUGUUGAUUUUUGGAUGGUGUAACCCACAAACAGAAACUCAAACGACAUCCACCCUGCUAGCCCAGGCUGCCGACCUGGAACCUAUCCCCUGAUCAAAGAAGCAGAAGAAGAACUCACGCAAGCAAGCAUCGCUCUCGCGUCAUGAUCAUCGCAAAACAUGUACCUGCAACUGUUGUUGUAGUAAUCUGUGACCCACGAGGACUCAGCAAUCCCAUUGCCAUGGGUAUCAAGACUAGCAAAGCUUAAAGGUAAAGGAAGGGGUAAAGUGGUGAGGCUGCAGCAGCGACUAAGCAUAUAUGGUGGCUAACAUACACAAAUAAGAGCGAGAAGAGAGCAAGCAGAACGGUCGUGAAGCUAGCAAUGAUCAAGAAGUGAUCCUGAACUCCUACUUACGUCAAACAUAACCCAGAAACCGUGUUCACUUCCCGGACUCCGCCGAGAAGAGACCAUCACGGCUACGCACACGGUUGAUGCAUUUUAAUUCUGAUCUGGUGUCAAGUUAUCUACAACCGGACAUUAAUAACUUCCCAUCUGCCUAUAACCGCAGGCACGGCUUUCGAAAGAUUAUACCCUGCAGGGGUGUCCCAACUUAGCGCAUGACAAGCUCUCGCGAUCAACGAAGGAAUAGACCUUCUCCCAGGAAUACCCGAUCAGACUCGGAAUCCUGGUUUACAAGACAUUUCGACAAUGGUAAAACAAGACCAGCAAGACCGCCAGAUGCGCCGACAAUCCCGAUAGGAGCUGCACAUAUCUCGUUCUCAGGGCAACACCGGAUGAGCAAUCCGUACAACUAAAACCAGACCUCAAGUUUCCCUGAGGGGGUGCUGCAAAUGGCUCUAGUUCGGACCAACACUUAGACAAGCACUGGCCCGAGGGGGGGGGGGGCUAAAAUAAAGAUGACCCUCGAGAGCGCGACUCCCAUGGGAAAAAGGGCUAUGUGAGGCAAAUGGUAAAACCAAGGUUGGGCCUUGCUGGAGGAGUUUUAUUCAAAGCGAACUGUCAAGGGGGUCCCAUAAAUCACCCGACCUCCCCGGCGAUCCUCGAAAUCCGUGCACGAGUUGACUUUCUCACCCUCGAGGUUGAAUUUUCUGAUGUCCCUAUAUUUUGUUAUUUUCACGCCAUGUUCGUCAUGUUGUAUCUCUGCAUCCGUAGCUCCGUUUCAUGCGUGUAAUAUGUCAAAUUGUUCGUCUCAAUGAGUACAUCAUUUCAUUCCAUUGCAUCAUAUUCAUUUAAGGUAAUCUUGAUGCCUGAAUCAUCAUUGUAAGAGUGCUUCAUGAUGUUUUCUGCUGUCUGUUAUCAGAACGAGCUCUUUUGUCAUUUUUGCCAUGAUUGAUGUGUGCAUCCUAUGAGGUUGAUGUCUACAUGUGUUUUGAACUAUGCCAUGUCUUCUUUACAGAGGUGCUUACCAUGUAUUUUUGUGAUCAAUGUGGUGACUAGCACAAGCAUGCAAACUAGGCAUCGUGAUGUUACUGAUUUUAGUCCCUGUUCUGCUGUUAUUUUGAUGCCAUGUAAACUUGAUGCUACAGAAAGAUCCAUGCAUAUUUUGAGAUACUUCAGUAAGGGUGUUUUGAACAUGUGGUUAUUGUCUAUCCAUUCAUGCCCUUGGUUGCAAUUAUGGAGUAGCCUAGAAUGUCAUUUUCGUGCUCUACUUUUGCUUCAAAAUGUUUCCUGGCAGAUUGUUUACAUGUUAUUCAAUUUGGCCAAGGUUGAUAUAGUUGAUCCUUGCAUGCUAUGGACUUGUUCUUGACUUGGUUUGUUUCACAAACAUGUAUUCUUGAUGAUGCUAUGCUUAUCUUGUCAUGCAAAGACUUGUGGUGAGUGAAUCGAGCUUGCUAAGUAGGGUACUUGAUGUUGUUGUUUUGCUAGGCUGAAUAUAUUAUUUCGUGAUGCUAUAUAAACCUACUGCUACUAAUCAUUCUAUGCAUAAUCUGGAGAUGUUCUAUAAACAUGUUUUGAUCUACAUGUCAUCCUAUAUCCAUCCAUGCCCCUGGUUGCAUUUAUAGCUUGUUGUAGAUUGUUCAUAUCUUGCUCCAAACUUGCUUCAUAAUGUUGUUGUCAGUCUGUUAACAUUAAGUUCAGUUGUUGACAUGAUUGUUGCUAGUGUUCCAUACAUCCUAUGACCUUGCUAUUGCCAUGCUUAGCUUCACAAACAUGCCUUCUUACUGUUGGUUGCCUUGCCAUGCCAUGUUUUGCUCUGUAGUGAGUUCACAAGCUCAUCUACAUGCCUUCAUAAUUCUGUUUCUGCCAUGUUUGAAUCUGUAAUAUAACUUGCCAUAUUUACAUGGGUGCCAUCAUAUUUUCUGAUCCUUUUUGGCUUAUGGUCAGUAAAGUACUUUUGAUCUAUGAAAUUAGUAGAUUCAUGCCAUGCCUUUGUUUGCCAUGAUAAGUUCCUGUAACAUGUUGUUUGAUAGCUCUAAACAUUGCAUCGUGAUGUUAUUUUCUGCAAAGUCUGAAAUUGUUAUAACUUGCAAUCUUACCAUGUGUGUUUGAGCAUGUUCUAAUGAUUUCUGGAGAUAGCUCAGUGUUCAUGUUUUGUUGUGCUUUACCUGUACAUCAUGCUCAUGCAUUUUAUUUUCAUAUUGUGGUGCUGUAGCAUAUUGUUUUGAUGCUUGCAAUAUACCUAGUUGCUGUUUUGGACAGAUUGUUGCUUUCACUUGUAUAUGGUGUGUGUGCUGAACCGUUGCUCUGUUUUGAGUGUGCUCUAUAUGAAACUUGCUUGUUUUUGCAUGUAGUUUCAUAUUAUCAUGUUGCAUCCAUGUUUUGAGGUGUUUGCUUGAUGUUUGAGUGCAUUUUACAUCAAUGCCAUGUUUAACUUGUUUUGCUCAUAUCUUCUAGGCCGUAGCUCCGAACUAAAUGAACUUUAUAUGUAACUUGACUAGAAUCUUGUGUAGAUCAUCUUUGUGCAUCUUAACUUGCUGUUUAACAACUUGAACAUAAGGUUUAUUCAGAUCUGGACCAACUUCGAAAUAUGCAUAUGAGGACUUAUCAGAAUUGUUAUAUGUUGUUCCCGGCCUCAUUUAAACUUGCCUUGAUGUGUUGUUCUUGUUUGCAUUAUCUCUGGCCAAGAGUAGCCUCAUCUAGAUUUGUCAUGCAUCAUGCUUGUUGUGCAUCAUGUCAUGUUCAUGUGUGGUGUGUUUACUAUGUUGUGUGCUUCUUUUCGAUAGUUCCCGUUUUGUUGCGAUCGUGAGGAUUCGUUCGUCUACGCUUGGUUCUUCUUCGUGGCUUCAUCUUCUUCAUGGACUCGUUCUUCUUCCUUGCGGGAUUUCAGGAAAGAUGACCGCUACCCUGGAUCUCACUACUAUCAUUGCUAUGCUAGUUGCUUCGUUCUAUCGCUAUGCUGCGUUACCUAUCUCUGCUCAUCAAGCCUUCCAUAUUGCCAUGAACCUCUAACCUUUGACACCUUUCCUAUGCAAACCGUUGUUUUGCUAUGUUACCGCUUUUGCUCAGCCCGUCUUAUAGCGUUGCUAGUUGCAGGUGAAGUUGAAGAUUUCUCCAUGGUGGACAGGAUUUUUAUUGGGAUAUCAUAAUAUCUCGUAUAUUAUUAAUGCAUCUAUAUACUUGGUAAAGGGUGGAAGACUCGGCCUUAUGCCUGGUGUUUUGUUCCACUCUUGCCGCCCUAGUUUCCGUCAUACCGGUGUUAUGUUCCCGGAUUUUGCGUUCCUUACGCGGUCGGGUGAUUUAUGGGACCCCCUUGACAGUUCGCUUUGAAUAAAACUCCUCCAGCAAGACCCAACCUUGGUUUUACCAUUUGCCUCAUAUUUCUAUCAUAGCUUACUAUGGAAAUAGCUAUCAGAACCGUCAGACUCUGCCUCAAGAUUCGAACCGAAGUGUGGUCCGGUUCCUUUUCUUGUUCUUUUGUUGAUUUUUGGAUGGUGUAACCCGGCCCACAUGCUGACAACUUUACAGAUGGAGUAAAGACAGGGCCUGCCCCAUGUGGUUCUGACUCGUUCUUGGACCAACUCGUCGGUCACGGACGUGUGCAAUGGAGGUUCCACGCCGUCCAUUGAACUUUUUUUAGCAUCAGUAGGCGCCUCGUCGUCGAUGGGAACGUCUUCUCCCACUGAAAGUGCAUCGCCAGAAAUUCUGAAAUAAAUCCAGAAAUAAUGCAAGCACCAGGAUUUGAACCCGGAUGGGUUAGGGAUAUCACUGUCCACCUAACCAACUCAACCACAGGUUGAUUCGCUCACCGUCCAUUGAACUUGCAUACCGGUUCCUGCUGCUCGUGAGCCUCGUUACGGCCAGUUCCUUCGUCGCAUGACACCUUUUUUUUCCAGUUGCCACGUCGCGUUCCUUUUCCAUCUCUUUGGCGAAUUUUGUGCUGAUAAAAGCCUGUGUUGAGUCAGUACAGCACAAGUUCGGAGGUUCCACGCCCUCAUAAAAUGAACGUGUAGGUUCUGUCGUAUAUAAUACUACCAUAGUACAUGAUUUUCCCUACAUAUACGUAGCCGGCGUGCAGGAGUGUCAGAACCUUCAAUGCAUGCACUGUAUCAGUGUCAUACACAUGCAAUAGGACAAAUUUUUUAAGCACAAAAGGAUGGAUAGUUUAAUGCAACCCCUCAUAUGGACAUACAGGCAGCUUAAUUCGUGCCGUGCUCCUACAGGUAAAUAUACUACCUGUAAUCGCAAUUGAAUAUGAAAAAAAAACAGUCGAUUCAACGUUUCAUGAAGACUCGUUUGGCACCACUCUUGGAUUUGAUGAUACUUCGUGGCAACCAACUCCCUCCUGUCGGUUCUUUUAUGAAGACUCGUUCGACACCGCCCUUGAAUUUGACGGUUCUUCGGGGUGACCAACUCCCUCCUAUCGGUUCUUUUGUGAAGACUCGUUCGGCAUCAUCCUUGAAUUUGACAUUUCUUCGGGGCGACCAACUCGCUCCUAUCGGUUCUUUCGUGAGACUCGUUCGGCACCACCCUUGGGUUUGACGGUUCUUCGUGGCGACCAACUCCCUCUUAACUGUUCUUUUUUGAAGACUUGUUCGGCACCACCAUUGGGUUUGGCGGUUCUUUGUGGCGACCAACUCCCUCUUAUCGGUUCUUUUGUGAUGACUCGUUCGGUACUACCCUCUGAUUUGACGGUUCUCCAUGGUGACCAACUCUCUCCCAUCGGUUCUUUGGUGAAGACUCGUUCGGCACCACCCUUUGAUUUGACGGUUCUUCAUGAUGAAUAACUUCCUCCUACCAGUUCUUGAUGGCGAUGUCGGUUCUUCACAAAUUCGAUUCCAGUUGCAAGUAUAGUUUUGACGGCUCUACGGAGGUGGAAUCCGGUUCUUUGCAAAUUGUAUUCUGGUUCCAAGUAUAAUUUUGAUGGUACUGUGGAGGUGAGACAUCGGCCCUAGCGUAUUACCUUCUCACAAAAAAAGAACUUGUAUUACCUAGCGUAGUGGACACAAGCUAGUACAUACAGUUGUUUUAUACCUGAUGAAUAAUUAACUUAGCCAACACUAAUCAACUGUCUUGACAAGAUUACCUAACACAGUAGUCCCCCGUACAAGCCACGGGUCACAGCUAGGGAAGCAGGGAACGGAGACAGUGACCUCGAGGUACGGCAGUGCAUAUAUCGAAGCAUUGGCGCAUGCACAAGUGCACGCAUCUGCAGCAGUAGGGACAUACUCAUAUUAUAAUUUUCUGUGAAGCUCUAGCACCUAGUGCCCCAGCUCUGCACCAAGUCCUGAGGCCUGGAGUGUCAAUAGCUGCUUAGCCAAAAGAUCUNNNNNNNNNNNNNNNNNNNNNNNNNNNNNNNNNNNNNNNNNNNNNNNNNNNNNNNNNNNNNNNNNNNNNNNNNNNNNNNNNNNNNNNNNNNNNNNNNNNNNNNNNNNNNNNNNNNNNNNNNNNNNNNNNNNNNNNNNNNNNNNNNNNNNNNNNNNNNNNNNNNNNNNNNNNNNNNNNNNNNNNNNNNNNNNNNNNNNNNNNNNNNNNNNNNNNNNNNNNNNNNNNNNNNNNNNNNNNNNNNNNNNNNNNNNNNNNNNNNNNNNNNNNNNNNNNNNNNNNNNNNNNNNNNNNNNNNNNNNNNNNNNNNNNNNNNNNNNNNNNNNNNNNNNNNNNNNNNNNNNNNNNNNNNNNNNNNNNNNNNNNNNNNNNNNNNNNNNNNNNNNNNNNNNNNNNNNNNNNNNNNNNNNNNNNNNNNNNNNNNNNNNNNNNNNNNNNNNNNNNNNNNNNNNNNNNNNNNNNNNNNNNNNNNNNNNNNNNNNNNNNNNNNNNNNNNNNNNNNNNNNNNNNNNNNNNNNNNNNNNNNNNNNNNNNNNNNNNNNNNNNNNNNNNNNNNNNNNNNNNNNNNNNNNNNNNNNNNNNNNNNNNNNNNNNNNNNNNNNNNNNNNNNNNNNNNNNNNNNNNNNNNNNNNNNNNNNNNNNNNNNNNNNNNNNNNNNNNNNNNNNNNNNNNNNNNNNNNNNNNNNNNNNNNNNNNNNNNNNNNNNNNNNNNNNNNNNNNNNNNNNNNNNNNNNNNNNNNNNNNNNNNNNNNNNNNNNNNNNNNNNNNNNNNNNNNNNNNNNNNNNNNNNNNNNNNNNNNNNNNNNNNNNNNNNNNNNNNNNNNNNNNNNNNNNNNNNNNNNNNNNNNNNNNNNNNNNNNNNNNNNNNNNNNNNNNNNNNNNNNNNNNNNNNNNNNNNNNNNNNNNNNNNNNNNNNNNNNNNNNNNNNNNNNNNNNNNNNNNNNNNNNNNNNNNNNNNNNNNNNNNNNNNNNNNNNNNNNNUGGAGAUGGAGUUAUGGUGGAGGGGGCAUUAAUGGGGAGAGGACGAGAGGUAGGAGAAAGAGAGAUGUGAGAGAGGCCAUUUAUGGAGAAGAGUUAUGGUGGAGGGGGACAUUAAUGAGGAGAGAAGAGAGGUAGUAGGAAGAGAGAAGAAGAGCAACAAUGGUGGAGAGUGGAGAGGGGAAAGGAGGGGGAGAGAGGGCAAAGUGGGGGAGAGGAGGGGGAGGGGGUGAAAAGGUGGCACCAGCCGCAACUAGCAGUAGCGCUGCUUACCAAAACGCGAUGCUGCUACCGUACUUAGUAGCAGUGCUUUCCUGGAGAAGCGCUACUACUAAGUGGGGCCCAUUAGCAGUAGCGGCGCAGUAAAAUAAAGCGCUACUACUAAACUGUUAGUAGUAGUGUUGGAUUCUGCACAGCGCUGGUACUACAUCUAUCGUCGGUGGCCUCGUCUGGUCCCACGUAGUAGUAUCGUGUUUUUGGUUUCCAGCGCUACUGCUAUAGACAGAAUAGUAGCACUUUCCUGGAUUGGCGCUACUGCUAACUAGUAGCAGCAUUGACUAUUUUCUAGCGCUACUGCUAACUAGUAGCUGCUAACUUGUAUAAGCAUUUCCCUAGUAGUGUUAAUUUUAUUGACAGAUUGCACUUCUAGUUUCUACAGCUAGUGCUAACCGAUGAUUGAAAAAUAUAUCUACCUUAACUCUAGACAACUACAUCACAUUGUCACUGCCUAGCAGUGAUGAACCCUAGCGAUACAAAUAAAAAAAUUACAAUGGCAGUGACCUACAGCAAAAGAGGGAGGGAUGAUAUGCUCACCUGGGUUGGAGCCGAGGGUUGCCUACAGUCUACUCUGUCGCCGUCAUCGUCACCUGUGGUAGAUGAGAGUGGGAGGCUCAGAUGCAAAACACACCUCUAAAUUAAAAAAAAUUUCCAAAUGGACUAGAUGAGAGUGGGAGGCUCAGAUGUGUACCUCAAGACCGGAGAACGACGACAAUCGUCGAAAUCGGCCAAAAUCGAAGUGGCACGACCAGCGGCGAGAGAGGGAGAGAAAAGGGAACGAAACAGAGCAGCGGGUCACAGAGUGAGAGUGGGUUGAGGGGGUCGUUGCCCCCAUUGGUUUUGACCCCCACGGCAUUCUAAUACUAUUUGUGCUUGCCCAAUAAGAAAAAAGAUCACCACCUAGAAAUUGUCAUCUCAAAACUAUAUAUUUCAAGUCUUAAACUAAAAAGGAAAAAAAGUAAAUUUAACAAAAGUAAACUAUAAUAUACUAUUAAAAAGAUCACAGAAUAAAAAACUAAAAAAAUUUGGAAGUGUCAAAAUACAUAUUUGAAGGCUCAAAACUAUAUAUUUCAAGUCUUAAACUAAAAAGGAAAAAAAUUAAAGUCUCAAAGUACAUAUUAAAAAAAUGUCAUUAUUUCCAUUUAAAAUAAUAUAAAUUUAAUAAAAGUAAACUAUAAUAUACUAUAAAAAAGAUNNNNNNNNNNNNNNNNNNNNNNNNNNNNNNNNNNNNNNNNNNNNNNNNNNNNNNNNNNNNNNNNNNNNNNNNNNNNNNNNNNNNNNNNNNNNNNNNNNNNNNNNNNNNNNNNNNNNNNNNNNNNNNNNNNNNNNNNNNNNNNNNNNNNNNNNNNNNNNNNNNNNNNNNNNNNNNNNNNNNNNNNNNNNNNNNNNNNNNNNNNNNNNNNNNNNNNNNNNNNNNNNNNNNNNNNNNNNNNNNNNNNNNNNNNNNNNNNNNNNNNNNNNNNNNNNNNNNNNNNNNNNNNNNNNNNNNNNNNNNNNNNNNNNNNNNNNNNNNNNNNNNNNNNNNNNNNNNNNNNNNNNNNNNNNNNNNNNNNNNNNNNNNNNNNNNNNNNNNNNNNNNNNNNNNNNNNNNNNNNNNNNNNNNNNNNNNNNNNNNNNNNNNNNNNNNNNNNNNNNNNNNNNNNNNNNNNNNNNNNNNNNNNNNNNNNNNNNNNNNNNNNNNNNNNNNNNNNNNNNNNNNNNNNNNNNNNNNNNNNNNNNNNNNNNNNNNNNNNNNNNNNNNNNNNNNNNNNNNNNNNNNNNNNNNNNNNNNNNNNNNNNNNNNNNNNNNNNNNNNNNNNNNNNNNNNNNNNNNNNNNNNNNNNNNNNNNNNNNNNNNNNNNNNNNNNNNNNNNNNNNNNNNNNNNNNNNNNNNNNNNNNNNNNNNNNNNNNNNNNNNNNNNNNNNNNNNNNNNNNNNNNNNNNNNNNNNNNNNNNNNNNNNNNNNNNNNNNNNNNNNNNNNNNNNNNNNNNNNNNNNNNNNNNNNNNNNNNNNNNNNNNNNNNNNNNNNNNNNNNNNNNNNNNNNNNNNNNNNNNNNNNNNNNNNNNNNNNNNNNNNNNNNNNNNNNNNNNNNNNNNNNNNNNNNNNNNNNNNNNNNNNNNNNNNNNNNNNNNNNNNNNNNNNNNNNNNNNNNNNNNNNNNNNCCCUCUCUAACUAAACCUAAAGUGGCGAAGUUACUAGCAUGUCGCCAUGUCCUUGCACUAGAGAAGGAAGUUGGGGUCUAGACGAUCGUCUUGGAGAUGGACUGAAAGAUGGUUGUGAGCAAGCUCAACUCUGAAGGGAAGGACGGAGGGAAUAGUAAGUGUAUAUUUGUUUCUAAAUAUGAAAAUAUUACUAUUAAAUACUAAUAUACCAAAGAUAUAAGAAUAUUAAAUACUAGUAUACCAAAGAUAUACCUACAUAUAAGAAUAUUUAAUAGUAGUAUACCGAAGAUAUUCUACAGUUAAAUUCUAAUAACUCUGUUCCAAAAUAUAAGAAUAUUACUAUAAAAUACUAUUAGCUGUUUUCAAAUAAUUAGUAAUAGAGAUAAUAUUCUUUUGUAGUGAUAUAUCUUUAUUCCUCAUUAAAUAUAAGAAUAUUACUAGUAUUAAAUACUAGAAUCCCAAAGAUAUAUCUAAUAGUAUACCAAAGAUAUACAACAAUUAAAUAAUAUUACAUAUGUUCCAAAAUAUAAGAAUGUUACUACUACCUCCGUCUGAAAAUAGUUGUCAUCAAAAUGAAUAAAGGAGGCUGUAUUUUAGUUCUAGAUACAUCCCUUUCUAUUUGUUUUGAUCACAAGUAUUUUCGGAUGGAGGGAGUAUUAAAUACUGUCACAACUAUUCUUAUAUUUAGUAACAGAGAUAAUAGUAUUUAAUAGUAGUAUAUCAUUUUUCAUAAAUACUCCCUCCGUACCAAAAUUCUUGUCUUAUAUUUGUCUAGAUACGGAUGUAUCUGACACUAAAAUGUAACUAGAUACAUCCGUAUUUAGACAAAUCAAACACAAAAAUUUUGGGAUGGUGGGAGUAUAAGAAUAUUACUAUUAAAUACUAGUAUAAAAAUAUAUAUUUAAUAGUAUACCAAAAUAUAAGAAUAUUUAAUAGAAAUAUACCAAAGAUAUGCUACUAUUUAUUGCCGGUAUUAAAUAAAUAAAUCUGUAGAUUAACACGCGGUCCCCACCUUGGCCUGUGGCUUCCGUUUCAGUUCAUAAAAGGCAACACAUGCUUCUCCUCCUCGCUCACAUUCUUCUCAUCCCGCUCUCCACAACCAACUCCGCGCGUCUGCUCGACCGAUCCACCGCGAUGUCUAGCUCCGACGUCAGUGCCAUGCCCGCAGCCAACCACGAGGGGCACAGCCUAGCGGGCCCCGCCCCGCCCCCUGCGCCGGUGGUUCACAAGCGCAAGCCCGGGAGACCCCAGGAGAAAAGCCCGCCCCCAGCGGCCACCAGAGAGGAGCUGGAAUCCAGGGAGUCCUGGGAAGGACCCUUGAAGGUGCUUGCGCUCCCGGCGCCAGGGGCCCGGCGUGCUUAUGUUGUCUCAGAUGACAAGAUGGUGAGCCGCGCUCGCGCCCCCACACGGCGUGCAAGCGCGGUAUCCNNNNNNNNNNNNNNNNNNNNNNNNNNNNNNNNNNNNNNNNNNNNNNNNNNNNNNNNNNNNNNNNNNNNNNNNNNNNNNNNNNNNNNNNNNNNNNNNNNNNNNNNNNNNNNNNNNNNNNNNNNNNNNNNNNNNNNNNNNNNNNNNNNNNNNNNNNNNNNNNNNNNNNNNNNNNNNNNNNNNNNNNNNNNNNUUUUUUUGUCAACAUCGUCUCCGUGCAGGCUACACUGGCAAACAAGCUGCUUAACUCUUGUGCAUGCUGGUUUUUCGUCAUCACUAGUAUACUGGUAUUGGACUGAAGCUUGUUAGCUCUGUCCAUGCUGGGUCUUUUUUUUUCAUUAUUAGUAUUGUUAUAUAUUAGCUGAAGCUGCACAUGUUUUCUUUCCAUUGACGUUGGUGCGGGCGGUGCUACGCGUCAGUCGGCCGAGGGAUGGACGCCUUACUCACCUGAUUUUAAUCAAGUCCCACCUAGGUGUAGUUUGUUUUGUCACUAGCUGUGUAUACAUAGGCGAGCUCCAGCACUAUGUUGCAGCGUGGAAAACAUAUGAACUGUAAUAAGAAACAUGCAAUGGCUAGAAAUAUCUCCACAUAUUUUUUCAGCACGUUUUAGGUGUCAACGAAAUUAGUCGGAUCGCCAGCCAUCGAAUUGACAUGUGGAGCAUUGGAUCACACUACACGGCAGCAGAGAGAAUGGAAACCGUGUUCCUCCAUAGCCUCCACAAUACAUGUGUAUCCACCACCCCUCCCACAUCGUCGCAACAGACAAUUACGUCGGCCCCUUGCAACACCUGGCUUUGGUACCCUAGAGAUCCCUGAUAUCGCUUGGAUAUCCUGCAAGUAUUAUUACAAUGCGCCAACGAGGCGUCGUCCUUGCAACAUUGUCUUACAGACAAUGUAGUUGAUGCCACCACCACCAUCACCCAUUUACACAUGGGCCGUGGCAUGUGGCACUGUUCGUGGGAUAAAACACACCCCGCGAGAAUAUGCGGUUGCACCACUAUGAUCUGUGCAUCUUAGGAAUUGUUGUGACUGCCCCUGCAAAAGUAGCGAUGAUACGACCAUCGCCCUGCAACAUCGGCCAUAGUUGUAGCACAUAUGAGAAGACGGAUGCCGCACCUAACAACACAUUAUGUGUUUUUUGCACCAUAUGAAAGCACUGCCUUGCAACAUCGGCUAUCAGGGUGCUGCACCGACAAACACACUCACGACCUUGAGAUGUCGUAUGCCUUGGCCGAUGUAGCAUAGUGCUCCUCUUUCAGCAUAUAGCGAUGGCUUGUAGCAUUGAUGGUCGGAGAGUCGCAACAUCAUUGAGUGGCAGUGCUAGCCCAACUCAUUGUCAUAGAGAAAGGGGAAUAAAGGAUGGGUGUGCACGUGGUGGAAAUAAAGUGAAUGGAUAUGGUGAAGAGAGAGGAAGACUAACAGGGGCAUCCGGCGCUAGAGCGAUCUGACUGAUUUACCCCUGAAACCAGCCUGUUGAAUAUAAUUCAAUUUUCUUUUGAGAGACCUCAUAAAAACGUCGCAACAUGCGAGCAUGUCUAUACAAAAAAUUGUAGAUAUACAAAUCAUUAGCUUCAACAAAUAAGUGAAAAAACACAAUGUAUAUAGGCCUGAACCGAUGGAUCAUCAGCAUGCAUCUACCAGAUCUUCCUAGGUUACGCCCAACCGUGAGUCGUUCAAUUGGGUCACACAUCACUACCCAAUCAACCACCAACUUAGUUGUUCCUCUCGUCUCCUCUACCCACCCUUCGCAACAUACACCCAUGAUUCUCAGCAAUAGACCAACAUGGAGGCGACAAUGGUGUCCAUGAUAGGCUAGUCAAAAGCACACCGGUGAUCAACCUUACAACACUAAACAGAACAUUGCAACAUGAGGUAACCCCAACUUUGUAGCACUGGUGCACCAUUUUCAACCACCUUGUAGCAAUGAAAAGUUCACUGACCAAUAGCAUUGCUGCACCAAGUUACUGGCUUCCAGCACUGAACACACGGGCUUGCAGCACCGCGAUGAUCGAUGGUCGGCCUUUCAACAAUAUUAGUUAACAUUGCACACCUCGUCUCCAUUUUUAUGUACAUACACAUGAGUGAGAUUGGAACAUCAGUAACGUAUCAACAUUACCAAACAUGAAGACAAUAAAUUUGUUUCUCCAAGCAUAGACGUUACUGAAUAAGCGUGCAACUGCACAUCCACCACAUGAGCCAUAAUUUUUUAGCUCUGUGACAACAGCUUAUAGUUGCAAAAGAGCUGACGAUGAUGGUUUAGAAUGUAUAUGAUCAAAAUAGAUUAAAUGGAGGGGAGGAUGGACUACCUAUGUUGAAUCGGACUAGCCGCAAGGUCACAAGUGCCUUGUCUAAAUAGCCAAAAAGACAAAAGGAGGCCUCCUGGAUUCUCCAUCCUGAAGCUAAGCAUAACUCCAACUCCAGACACGCUAGGGGGCUACUAAAGGUGCAAUACGCUAGGGAUGUCUUCUGGGUGGGAAGCCCGGUAGCAGGCUUGCCUUAGGGCCCAAGAGGCCAACUGGAGGAUCGGUGCAGUAGGGCAGCUCAGGAGCCUAGAUAAGGACUGUGGGAGCAUCUUGGCAGGCAAGCUAAGAUGGCAGUGGUAUGAGAUCUGAUGGAUUCCUUGUAAACCUAGCCCGCGCCACCUAUAUAAGGAGGGGCUCGGGGUUGUCAUUCACAUAUACUCUCAUAGACUAUACUCUCUGUAGCAUUAUACUUCAUCUCCACUCUAAACCCCUCGCACAAGGUGCUCCACCAUGAAUAAAAAUCAGAUACAGGAUGUUGGGCAUUACCUCUCACCGAGGGCCCGAACCUAGGUAAAAACCUUUGUGCGGACUACCUUGUCGUGUAUCCCCACAAGUUCACCACCCUACUAUGGGUACUCACGGUUUUCCAUACUAUCACAUAGUUAAGUUCUAACACAUUUUCUUUGGGGAGUUGAAGCAACUCAUGGUGUAAGUAGGUGUUGCUUGAAGCACUGAUUCUACUAGCACCUCCUUUCCCUCCUUUGAGAUACCUUGUCCUUCCAAUCCAACCACUUUGCCAUUUGAGCUUUCUUUAAUAUGUUUAAAAUUUCCUUCCUUUGACCUACCCACCACGGUUGGGACCCCAAAUAAUGCUCGCUCAAUGCCUUAGGAUCUGUGCAAAGAUAUUAACAACAACUUAGUCCUCCUAUUUGCCUCACUUCCCAAAGAAUGUUGAAGCUUUUAGAAAAUUUCCCAUUUGUCCCGAGGCCCACUCGUAGUCAAAUAGGAUAUAUUUAAGGUUACAAAGUUGCCAUUUGACGGUUGAAGAAAUACUAUACUAUCAUCUGCAGAAAUAAGAUGGGAUACAUGGGGGUUAGUGCUCCCAAAAGAUAUACCAUUGAUCUCUUUAUCUUUGAGCACCCAUGAGAAAGGCCAAAAAACUCGCAACAUAGAAAAUAAGAAAAUAGGGAGACCAUCGGUCUCCUUGCCAGAGCCCUCUUCAUAGUAUAAAAAAUACAUAACACACUCCUUUCAAUUUGAUAGAAAACCUGGCCGGGGUACCACACAUCAUAAUCAUCAAGAUCAACCUAUCUGAGAAACCAAGUGCCCUCAUCAUCAGAUCGAGGAAAAUCCAAACCACCCUCUUAUAGGCCUUCAUCAUGUAUAGUUUAAUUGCGAACAUUGGAUUUUUCUAUUUCUUGAACGAACAUACUUUGCUCCUGCGUGAUCAUUAUGGAUAUGACAACCUUCAAUCUCUUUGCUAGGCCUUUGAAGCAAUCUGACUGAGCGUGUUCAAUAAGUUGAUUGAUCCCAUUUGAGGAAGUAUCUCCAUUGAGGUAAUUUUGGGGAUUAGGACUAGAACCAUAUCACUAAAGUUUGGUCAAAUAACUCCAUUAAAAGAAUCACCUAUUACUAUGCGUACAUCAUUUUUUAGAAAUAACUAGUGAAAUUGGUAAACAUAAGUGAGAGGUUGUCUAGCCCCUGCGCUCUUGCCAGUCAAAUUUAGAAUAGUGCAUUCUCAAUUUCUUCAUCCAUCACGUCCGUGUUCACCCUCUCCUCCAUAUCACUAGUCACACAGGGUCGGAUGUGAGCUAAGAUGUUGUCAGCAUCAACAGAGGCUUCUGAAGAAAACAACUAAGCAUAGAAAUCGGCCGAAAUCUUCCCCAUCUCAUUGUCAAUAGUACAACUCGUGCCAUCCGCCCUCAUGUUUUGAUCGUCUUCCUUGAGAAAUUCCAGUUGGGAACAUUGCAUACACAUUAUUUGUUCCUGUGCACGAACCACAUGAAGCUACGCUUCAAUCUCGCUGGUCUUCAGCAAGGAUGUCUGGAUCCCAAUGCGCUACCCUUUCCAUCGAAGCUGGACCUUGUGCCUAGUAAUCUCACAACAUACAAGACAAAAUAUAGAGCCACUUCAAUGUUUCAUAUCAUUGGUGACAUUGUUACGCUUCCUGUAGAGCUCACUCUGGCCGAAAUUGUUAUCACAUGCACACUAUCAUGCCUACAUGGGCAUCCACCUCUCCUCAAACGUUAAUGCCCUCUUCUUACUUUUGGUAAUGACUAGGUUUUCUAGCGAUCUAUUAACGAGCAAACCAUUGUCUGGUCCUCCAUGACAACAUGUUCAAUGGGUGUAUCCUACAAUGAAUGCACGAAUUCAUCAUUGCAUGGACCCCUGUCCACAUGUACAUAAACGAUCUCAUCCCGCUCCCUCUUAUUGUCCCAAGUGUACAUGUUGCUACUAAAACAAAGUUUUGAAACACUAUUAUUGGCUACACUCUCCCUAAUGCGCUCCAUUUGUGUGAAACUCCUCAAGUAAUCUCCUAGUUGUUGUGAUUAAAAGAAUUCUUUGUUGAGGUAUCAUUGUAACAGAUAAAUGUAUUAUUAGGAUCCAAUCUCUCGGAGCCUCCCUUAGCUACACAAAUUUUCAUCAAUCUCUCUUCCUAUCCAGUAGCUUUAGGUGAUAAUCAUUGUGACGCCUUUGGUGGUCACCUUCACGUUGCCUUGUCUUAUGAACAAAAGUGCCUCGUCUGCGUUGCUCUGAGGUAGAUGGGUCAUCUUUCCCAAUGGCCUUGCACCCUUUCCCAUAUAGAUUUUUUUAUGUCUUGCUUACUUUCAUGCUCCUUCCUCAGGUCCCACUUACUUUUUAGAUUUAAAUCAUCCCUUAGUUCACAAUCAUGUCACAUUUCUUGCCUGAAUUGGUCCUCCCUACACUUCAUCUUAGGCAGUUACCAUGUACAAGACCAUCUCGAGGAUCCUCGCUAGAGAGAGAGUCCACAGAGGGUGUAUAAUCAGUGUAUGACCUGCACGUAAAUGGACGGGCAUGCAACGCUACAUGACCCCUGCGCCAUAGACGCCCUUGCUUGACCUAGUGCUCCCAAAACUAAAGUUCCUGCUUUCUUUCACCGGCCUCUACUUAGUUUUUGUCUAUGAGGAGCCAUGUCCAAGUGAUGCCCUUAACCAUUCACCCAACUGGGGUGAGGAAUCAUUUUGUGGUUCAAAUCAUCUGUCAACAUGUGCUAGUCUGUCGUAGUCAAUCCAAAAGAGAGGUAUCUUCUCAAAUUGAAAAUCAAACAAGGUCCCCUCAUCUUUUGCUGAAGAGUGGAGAAAGAAGCCUUAGACUAGUGAAAGAAAUCUAUCUCUAAAUCUGAGAUGGUUCCCCCAUAAAUCCAUCGUUCUUAACAUCACUCUUUACCACGCCACCAAGACAAUUCCCAAGAGCAUUCCCAAAAGUAUAUGAUCAUUUAUAUAGGGGAGGAUCUGUAAUUAUCACCCAUGGCUCCGUCAUACAAAACAUUAUCUUCGAUGACCUGGUUUUUUCAUCAUAAUCCUUCAAAACUAUCACAUUAAAACCAAAUUGCCACAUUCAAUUAUAUAGAGCGUGCUUCUAGACUCCUUUGUUAUGGAAUCUAAAGAAGAAGAUACUAUUUCUAAUGUGACUUACUUGGACUUCCUAAUAGUGUCACAUGUAUGUUGCGUAGCCCUAGCAAACACGUUGAUGUUGAUUUGCUGGAGUGAGCAUGCCUUUCCAACCACUGACCACCGAGUAGGCCUCGGUCGGUCUGGAAUCCUGAUUCUCAAGCAUGAGAUCUAUUAGUUCCUUUUGUUGUUAACUUCAGGGCUCCUUGUUAAUUUGGUUGAGAGAUUAGCUGCCUCCCCUGAAGCAUUUCCAUCUGUCAGGGACUUUGAAGGUUCUCAUCUUAAUGAUCCUUGGUCGCCCUGUUCACUUGAGCUGUCGAUUUACGCCACGCCUUCUCUCCCAUAGUCGCGCAAAGGAGUGGAAGCACCAAGACCAAUCAAUGUAGGAGUAUAGAGUGUCAUCACCUCAUAGAUGAAUAGAAACCUAACCCUAGCACUACUUGUCGGUCGCCUAUAAUUGCCCUUAGCAUUUCUUUUCAUGUUGGGCCCGCCAUAAGGUAUUUAUACGUUCGCUUCCAUUGGUACUUUUUUUUGCACUGGAGCCUUUCUGCUACAUUUGCCUUUCUACGAAGGAUGUCUUAUCCAAAUCAUAUAGUCUCCUCUAUCUAUAGGAAGCGAGGACAUUAGCUCUUCUUUUUUUCAAGGCAAAUACACUUGCUAGUGUUCAAGCGACAUCGAAAGAAGUCUUGUCACAUGUGAAGACGACGCUAAGAGUGUGACACAUAUAGGUGCCAACUUGAAGAAUAAUGCAAAUUUCAGUAAAUAUGAAUAGCUCCUGGGGGAACGAGCGCAUAAAGGAAUCAGCCACCAUAAAUGGAUCAUUUCCAAAGAAACAAAGUCACAAAGAGAGAGACAAGACAUUAGCUUCUUUAUGGGGAACACAUAUAUUUAAAUGUUGCCUUGCUCUCUGAUUAUUAACAAGAAAUAAUUUUUACUAAUAUAUUAUGUGUAAAUCUUGAUAGAUAUGGAAUGUAUUUUGGUCAGUAUGUUUUAAGGAAUCAUAUUAGUUUUUGGUAUGUAGAAAUUAAAAGAAGUUCAUGUGCCUUCAAGGCAUGUCAAGGUGUGUUGUUCCACCUCAAAAUUGGUUCAGACUAAAUGGUUAUUCUCCCUACAUAUAGCCCCAAUUCUCAUGCUCUCUCUCUCUCUCUAUUUUAUAUUCCAGACUACUCCAUAAAGCCUAACUGGUGAAGGUCCAGAAACACCCAGCAGUGACGGGUUCAACUCCCAUUAGUAGUCGAUACUUAGUGGAGGAGAAACAAGCCACUUACAGGCACGAGCCCGCCAAUGGUGAAUAAAUCAGAAAAGAAAAUCAGGCCAUGGCCAGUCCAAAUCCAGCAUCUGCCAACAAUGUGUAGUCUCCACUACUCGAACCUACUUUUCCUCAGUGCGUGACAUCAUGUGAUGUUUGGAGAAUCCAUAGAGUUGGGGAUCCGAAUAUAAAAAACAACAAUGGGGAGUGUCUUGAAGAAUAGGAGCCAAGAAGCCGGACGGAGAAGGCCUCCACCAUACUGCACCAUUGGCCAAUACUGACCCGUAUGGUGCAAGGACAAAGGCAGAACUGAACACCGUCAUCAUCUAGGUUGCAAAGGAAGUUGGACCACUGUGUUGCUUCUCUCGAACAAACUCAAUGAUUUCAUGCAGUUGGCACCCAUGCCACAUUCCAUAGAGAUAACAACAUUGAGGAGGAGGAGGGACAACGCAAGGUUUCUUCCUCAUAGGAAUUAGUUUCGAGGAAGUGGGGGGACGAUAUGGCAUGAUGAGCAGUUAACAAGGGAAGUUUGCAUGACUGUGGAGGACAAAGCAUUAAGACAAGUGUGCUAGUAGCUAGAUAAGGGAUGAAUGAUAGCAGGAAGGAAUAAUGAGCUUACUGGGUGAGGCUACUAUUUUUUAAGUUGCGACCUACUGAUCAUAACAACAAUUGAUCGUAACAACAUACCAUUGAUGAUUUAGGGUAUUGAUUUAGUAACUGUUAGGAUGUGACUACGGCUUGUAAGUGGUGGGUUGUAUAUUACUAACAAGUAGCAUGUUUAGCCUCAAUAUUGUCCUCUGUCACUCGUAACAACGUGCCAUUGACGGACCACAUAUUGGGCCCGUCACUACUACCUUUUUCAAACAAAAAUAGAAUUUUAGUUAUAGUCAGAUUCACAACAAUCCCGCCGGUCAUUAGUGUUAAGUAGCAUUGCUGACCGGUUUUUUGAACCACCACUUUUGAUCGAUAACUAGGCGAGAACUCUAGUGUAGUGCACAUUUGUUUGGUUCAGAAUUUUUAGUGUUUUUAUGUGCACAAAGACAUAUCGUUCAACCCUAACAUGUUCUCUUUAGGUGGGGUCGAGAGUGAAGGACUGGGGAGCUUGGAAGCAGGGGAAAUGGCACCUCGAGGGGUUCAGGUCUCCAUGAUCAAUAACCACAAUUUUGAUCUGAAUGAGCUGCCGACUGAGCAUGAGUAGCUCAAGAAGGAGUAGUCACCCGUGGAGCAAGAGUAGCCCCCUAUGGCACAACAUGAGCUUUAAUAUUCACAAUGGUUGGAGGCUACUCAAAUCCCGCUUGUGUGAGCAAAAAUAACUCUUGGCCCAAAGUAUAGCCCUGUCAGAAAUUAUCGAAACAAUAUCCUUAUCCCAAGGACGAUUGUAAAGCUUAUGUGGAACUUUUCAAUUUCUUGCUUCCUAUUUUUUGGUGAUUGACUGACGCUAUUGCUAAACUUGAGGGAAGGACUUGGUAUACUGCCUCAUGAUCAACGUGUCACCUGGAAUGGCUUUUCUAUUCAUUUCCCAUGAUGGUUUUGAUAUGUAGAUUGUUUGAACAAGCAUUUAUUCAUUCGGUAAAGCUUUGUGAAACAUCAACGGUGGAGCUAGGUCUCUCGUCAUGUGAAAUGAUAGUAGGUCAAGAAGUGUGUUGGAUCAUGAGAUAACAUAUUUUCUAAGUUGUUAAUCAUGUGUGUUAACACCAUGGGUAGUAUGAGAGAAGGUCAACAUGCAUGUUUGGGUCUGAAAUGACCUCAUGACCAAAAAGGGAGAGAAACAUGGCUAAUAGGAAUACGAACAAUAUGGAAGUUACUUGUUGCAUGGAUGUUAACUGUGGUUAUGAAACCACACAAGAUGUCAGAGGACCCGCAUCCUUACAUAUCAAGGUUGACUUCACAUGCCAACUGGAUUUCGACUAAAUUAUUGUAUAUGUAUGUAUGUUAUAUCUUGACAUCUUACCAAACAAAAAACACCAAAAAAUACACUAUUUACUUCUCUUUGAUGCAUAUUCUAGUUGGAGGGUAAUCAUAACCUUAUGUGGAUAUUUUUCCAUAAUAGAAUAUAUAAUGGUCUAGUGAGGCAAGGUGUAAAUGGAGAGGACAAUAGUCGAACAUGAAAACAUCCAACAUUGUGUUAUAGUUGCAUCAAGUUGUCUAGUGAGUCAAUAUGGAAAUGGAGGAGGCUCAUAGGGCAACACGAGAACACCCAACAUGUUGCUCUACUUACUUCCUAUUGGUACGAAGAGACCGAGAGUAGUGAAAGGUUAAUCAUAACACAUGGACAAGAUAUCUCAUACAAGAUGAAAAUGGAGUGAGUCUUGUAUGAAAAUGCUAACAAAGUAUGAGUGUGCAUAGCAUGCCAUCCCCUCCCUUUCUUGUUCGAGUUUCCUUCACCAACCCCAUAGUACCCUGAUCAACACUAUUAUUUGGAUAUGCUUCUCAUCUGAGAAAGAAUAGUUAUUGAGAGACAUUUAUAUCAUUGUCUAGAUAGACUUGUUCAAGGGCCAAUAAUGGAGGUGUCUUAUCUAUUAUAGCCACAUUCCGGAGAAGAAUAAAAAAAGUAGACACAACCUGAUAAUUUAUUGAGAUUUGAAUUGAGGAUCCACAUACAUCAACUAUCCUACAUGUGAAUCAAAUCCACAUCCUACAUGGGCAUUGGGCUUUAGUUGGACUACCACUUUAUGGACAAGCCAUGUGCUCCAUGUAGUCUAUGUUGCAAAGGCGGGAGGACAAGGAGCAAAUAGUUUUUGAUGGCUGGACAUUGAAGUUAUUUGUCAAGAAAUUUGUUUCCUGACAUGGUUUGUUUAUUUCAUUAUUUAGUAUUUGAUAUCGGUUCAAUGCUCUAGUAUGUAACAUUCUUCUCACAUUUUGGGUCUAGCUCUUGGUGUUCAUGAGUUCAUUACUUAUGUUAACUAUUAUUGUUGUGCCCACUUGUUCGACAAGAGACUAUAAAGUUAACUAAGAUACUCUCGUAUUUAUAUUAAUAUAGUUGGCACUGAGCUAAUAAUAAACCUUGAAUACUACUCAUAUUUGUCAAAUAGGAGGUCAAGCUGGAUCUGUCUGGCGCAUCAUCUAUGGUCACAUGGUGUAUUGUCUAUUCUAAACCCAAUGAGUAUUGCAGAAUGACAUGUUCCUGCGAGGAGGAAUGAGUCACUCUUUUGUGUCAAGGGGUGAUGCCAUGCCUCAUAAUUGACAAUAAAAAAUUAACCACCUACAUCAAAAGUCUAACCCAAGUCAGGGAAUAGGCGCCAUUGCAAUUUUACCGCACAAAGUCAUCGGUAUUUUGCAAUUGAAUGUUCCCCAUGUUGUGACUGAGAACACAAAACACAAAACACCCCACAAAACACUAUUCACUUCUCUUCGAUGCAUAUUAUAGUGGAAGGGUAGUCAUAACCAUAUGGGAAUAUUUUACCACAAUAGAAUCUAUAAUGGUCUAGUGAGGCAAGGUUUAAAUGGAGAGGAUAAUAGGCGAACAUGGAAACAACCAACACUGUGUUUUACUUGCAUCUAGUUGUAUAGUGAGAUAAUAUUGAAACGGAGGAGGCUUAUAGGGCAACAUGAGAACACCCAAUAUGUUGCUCUACUUACUUCCUAUUGUUACCAAGGGACUGAGGCUCGGGCAUGGUUAAUCAUAACACAUGGAGAAGAUCUCUCAUACUAGUUGAUAAUAGAAUGAAUCUUGUAUGAAAAUGCUAACAAAGUAUGAGUGUGCAUAACAUGCCAUCUCCUCCCUUUCUUGUUGUAUUUUCCUUCACCAACCCCCAUAGUACCCUGAUCAACACUAUUAAUUUGAUAUGCUUCACAUCUGAGUUAGAAUUGUGAUUGGGAAUAGUUGUAUCAUUAUCUAAGUAGACUUCUUCAAGGGGAAAUAAUGGACGUGUCUUAUCUAUUAUAGCCACAUUCCGGAUAGGAAUAAAAAAGUAGACAUAACAAGAUAAUUUGUUGAGAUUUGAAUCGAAAAUACAACAUACAUCAACUAUUCUACAUGUAAAUCAAAUCCUCAUCCUACAUCGGCAUUCGGCUUUAGUUCGACUACCACUUUAUGGACAAGCCGUGUGGUCCAUGUGGUCUACGUCACAAAGGCCAGACGACAAGGAGAAAAUAGUUGUCGAUGAUUGAUCACCGAACGAAAUAGCAGCGAGAAGCUAACUCCAGGAAGCUAGGAUCGACCGCAGCACAAAAUCAUGAAGCAGACUCGGCCCAGCUCCACCAAUCCGAAAAGCUGAAGUUGGCCGAUAUUACAAGUAAACUGCCACAGCCAAUUCAUACGAGUCGAACCGGUACGCUCGAUCUGUUUGAUCUCUCCUCGUUCCCUCGCUCGUGCUCCCUCGCUGCUCCUCUAUAAGGCCGAUUUGGGUUGCCUCCAGUCAGCCCAACUAGCUCGAACAGGCCACAACCCUUCUAGCUAGGUUGCAGUGCCGCGAGAAGCUGCAAACCGAGCCAAACGGAUUUUUCAUCGCUGCUUGGAGUGAGAAGCUACUCUGAAAAGGUGAAUUUCUGAAGUUUUGGGAAGCUAGAGGAGAUCAGAAAAGGCCCUAAGUCAUCGGUAUUUCAUAAUUGAAUGUUCUCCAUGUCGUGACUUCUGAUGGUGUAAACCCAAAUAAUUGCCAUUGUGAAAUUAAGUUCCUUUCGUGAGUCAGAACCCACAUCCGUAAAGAUGUGCCACUACAAUCCACCUCAUGGCUAUCUUGGAGUCCUUAAUAUAAUCAAGUGUGCCCAAUAUGGUGACUUAAUAUGUACUUAUUGACCCUACGAAGCUAAUCGCCUCCAUCAAGACCCCUUCCUGGUUCUCCUUUAACUAGAUUCCUCGAAACCACAAGAAUCCUUACAAUGGGAUUACAACUUAGCACCUUUCGUUUUCACAUAGUAAGAAGAGUUGCUCCUUGGAUAGCACGGUACGAUCAAAGGUGUAACCUGUGUUUUGGAGCGAGUUAUUGUCUCGAAACUUUGUUCUCAACUAUUCCGAUUCCAGCAAACGGAGGCCAUUGGGUCAAAGCUGUAGCGCACGCCCUGUAGUUUUCAAGUGGGGCGAGACAACUUAGCUAGGAACCUAUUUUCAUUCUGACCAGCUCCCUGAAAACAAUGUUCGACUUCAUGUGUAGUCGGUGUAGAUGUGUCAUUGCAAUUCCACCACUAGGAUAUCACCAAGUCCUAUGUAUUACAUGUCAACAUAUGCCACCAUAUGGUUACUUGACAAAUUAAAUGGAUUUCACCAAGAUUUCAUGUUACAAUUAUAGUGAAGAUAGUGACUCACAUGUCAGCCUCCCUGACGGGAAGCAAAAUCACUCUGACUUUGGCAACCUAAUUCUUGGCGGGUUCAAGCAAACAUGUUGGAUUUGUAUUUUAUUUAUUUCAACAUAUAUAAUUCAUAUAAAUAAAUCAAUUCAUAAUAGGAGUCUUGGAGACACCCAUGUCAAUAAUGUGAAAUUAUGGGAAAUCUUAUUAUGUGCAUCAACAUAAGCCAAAACUCGUGGCUUAAGAGAUAUGUUUACAAUCUUCCAAUGGUUAUUCCCCCUACUGAAUUCAUGAUGUUAACUAGUUCCCAUAAGUUGAGAAAGAAGUUUAGUCAUGGGAUCAAUGUCCAGUGCAUCAUAUUUCCAGUUCCCAAAAAAAUUUAUUAUGGAAGUUGAGAAAGAGGUUUGGGCAACAUAUUUCCAGACACCUGUCAUGUCUAGGAUCUUCUCAAGCCUAGGUAAGCUUAGUCACGGGAUCAAUGCAGGCUAUUAGUACAUUGACCCGGUUCUUAAUUCAAGUCCUCCUUGCUUGAUACAAUAUUGAAUGGAAAGUACAUAAUCAAUUUAUUUAAGUGGGUGAACAAUGUUGGCUAGUAUAUUUCAACACUCACCUCACAUGCAUCUUUUAGAGGCAUAUAAUGCAUCAUGAUGGAAACAUUUUUUCUAUAGACUAAAUUCCAAUGAAAAAUUUAAUUAAUUUAAUUAGUAGCAAUCUCGUAAUGUAAGGAUAUAUGGCAAAUGAAAAUGAGGGCUCAAAUGCUACUUGUUGGCACACAAAAGUCAUGUUGUCUUUUUCCUCCCAUGUUGAUCCUUCGUGGUUUGACAUUGGGCAUUACAAAGAGAACAAGUUAUCUUUACACACCUCUAGAGCUACCAGACCCUGGAUGUUCCACCAUGAAUGUCCAUAUGGUGCAAUGAGUGAUAGCGAGCUAUAUUAGAACAUAUAGUUUACACCGUUAAAGUAAUUAAAUGGGCUAUUUUGGCUACUAUGAAAAAUAGUAUUUUAAGAGAAAACUAUGUAAGAGUUUGUGAUCUUUGUAUGUAAAAGCAUUAUUUGCCUUUGCUUGGUGUUCACGCAGUUUGAUUUAUGGUAAAAAUGUAAAAUCAUGGGACAAUAAUUGUUGAUAUUCUUUGCGGAGAAAGCGAGAUCUUUCCACUUUUCAGAUCACACAAAGUACUGUUUUUCUUAUAGGGGUGAUAUACAGUGUUCUAAAUCUGCACUUGUGAUUCGUUGUCCAUUUAAAUUUAAAUGGUUUCUUCCACAGAUUAUGUUGGUUUGUUGUUGUAUUUAUCUCAGCACUAAAGUAUACUGAUGUUAGCUAAGUCCAAUCAAAGGCCCAUGUUUUUAUCAUGUUAUACAAAUUAGUAAGCUAAGAUCUUACCAAACUCAAGUUACAUAAGCCCAGACUACGUGAAAUACACAUCAUGCAGUACACAUGUUCAUCUUAGUGUUAUGUUAUACUUGGCUCCGAGAUAACAAAUGGUAUCAAUUAUUACUAUCUUUUGCAGCUUGUUUCUGCCUGUUCAUCGUAGAAUUAUCUUAUGUGGUCUCCCAAGGUUCAUGCAACUUGGAUUUUCAUACUUUGGUAGUAUUAGUGUUCACUAGGACUAGGUGCCACUCUGUAGAAGCUAAGGAUACAGAUGGAGAAAGUAGUCAUGGUUUUUUUUUCAAAAAGUUUGUUCAUAUCUAUAAGAGGUUUAUGAUUUUUCAGUGUAUACUGUUGUGAAACCUAGAGUGUUUUAUCUCAUUUGACAUUGAACUACGCUUUGAAGGAAAAACCUUCAUUUGACAUCGAACUAUGCAUGCAGGGCAAACACCCCGUGCUUCGGUGCCACCGCGCCGCGAACCCUGGGAGCUUGAACCUGGAUGGGUGUGAACUUAAGAUUGAUGUCAAUGUUAGGGGUCAGUCAUGGAUAGAGAAUAAAGGGGACUUUGCGAAACUGUUAUUAAUAAUAUCGAUGAAACAUUGCCUUGUGGAGAGAAUAAGAUAUUUCGAGAGAUAUUUAUAAAUGGAUGCAUACUUGCAAUAGCAGUACAAAAUAUGAUGCUAACAUUUUAUUUUCAUUGUUGUUCCCAUUAAACUUCUGGUGGUGGCUCCAUUAUUCACAGCCUC
rnacentral:lncRNA from 1 species